rnacentral:lncRNA from 1 species
ACCAAGGGCAGCGCGAUCCGUCCGCGGGAGCUGGAGAGGUGGCACACGGGGAAAGAGACAUUAGCACCUCACCCCACCACCGCUCUUUUUCUUAAAACACUUUCUGGUGAGCGAUUUGCAGGACCCAAACAGGCCUGCCUGCCAGUUAAAUACUAGGGGAAUUAUUCUUAUCUAUCCCCCUCCCUCUUAUUAAUAUGGUUUUACCACAUUGUGGUACUGAUUGUGUGAGGCAGUGCUUUCAUGUGCACUUACUUAGGAUUUACUCCAAUUGAACUCAGUGUGAUUUACUUUCAAGUAGGCAUGUAUUAGAAUAAGUACCAUUGAACAAAGUGGGUCUCAGUUUCAAUAAAAUAUGUAUGGGGUUGGGGAGCAGGAAAGAAAGCUUGCUGUGUUUGUGUUGAGAUUAUGUGUGUUUUCCUGUGCUCUCUCUCUCUCUCUCUCUCUCUCUCUCUCACACACACACACACACACACACACACACACAAACAGCAGUUCAAAAAUCAAGAGGGAAGAGAGAAAGUGACAUCUGGCUUGAGGUUCAUGCAAUCUUCCUUCCUCUGAGUAUCAAGGUUUAGAGAGGUAGAUGAUAAUUAAAUUCCGCAAAGGUCCCAAAACUCGUGGCAGCAGAAGCUGUAUUGGUCAAAAGGGAUUCCCCUACCCCCUUUGUGUAUUGUGUAUUGCUUGUGCUGUUUUGGGGAGCUGUAAAUCUAGAAGGUGGGAGAGGAAUGGGACAGCUCUCUAUCCAGGGAGCUGCUGUUUGGCAGGAGGAUGACCUAGAUAACUGGGCCCCUCUUGUGUGGGGUGUGGUAGUUGGGCCCUUAUGUGGUGAGAGGUGCACCUUUCUUCUGUUGUCUUACAUAUUAUAGUUUAUUAUAUAUAGAUGCUGCAAUCAAUCGACAAUGUGCAUUGCACUUUGCAUAGUAUCUUAAGCAAAAAGGUAAGACCCUGAGGAGAGAGGUGUUGAGAGAGUCAGAAAGUAAAAGAGAGAUGAGCCUCUUUCUGUGAGAGAUGACUUGGAAGAUCUAUGCACCAUUGUUUCAGUGGCUUGCUUUUGUCCCUACACACAGUGGCAUUUAAUCCCUACAUGCAGGCAUCAUACUCUUUUUUUCUUACAAAGAAGGAAACAAGUGUGUGGGGGGGGUGGAAACCCCACAUUUUAAACUACCUAUAUAUGUAUAGCACAUAAAGCAGGCUUCCUCAACCUCGGCCCUCCAGAAGUUUUUGGCCUACAACUCCCAUGAUCCUUAGCUAGCAGGACCAGUGGUCAGGGAUGAUGGGAAUUGUAGUCUCAAAACAUCUGGAGGACCGAGGUUGAGGAAGGCUGACAUAAAGUGUCAGGAGCACGUUUUGUGUGUGCUUUGAACGAAGGCAUUUGUGCUUCUUUGUCCUCCUGAGCUGUGUGCCUGGGAGACCUUUGUUUGUUUUUAAGCUGUGAGUUGCUAUUAAUGUGGUGGAUUCUGCUCCUUACAGUUAGCUGUGACUGCACAUGAAAACAUACUUGGGAAGUUGCCAGUGGGUUGGUGCAUUUCCUCUCAAAGGUUAAAGAAAGAAGAGGGAAGACAGGAGGAGGGGAGGAGAACUGUGAUUGCUCACUUGCUCACGUUGUAGAUUUCUCCCUCCUCAGCCAUGUACUUAUAUGUCUUAUUAAACAGGCUUAACUUAAAUAUGGCUAUUAGGGGAGUACUUGUAGAAGAUACACGAAGGCAGAAGAGAAAUCUGAAUUUUCUUCAAUGUAGAGGAAUACUGCAGAGGUGAUGCAUUUUGACUAUAAUAGGGAGGGUUAGAAGAAGGCAGCUGUGGCAAGAUUUUAGGCAUGCAGUUUUAUUUUGCAUGAAGAGAUGACCUCAUAGACUCAUAGAGCUCAGUGUGUAUAACACCCAGCCCAAUAGGAUGAAGGCACUCUUUCCUGAGAUCAAGCCUUAUUGAACUCAGUGGUAGAAGUGUAUUGGAGUAGAGUAGACUAUCAGAGCCAUGCCACACCGACCACAGUUGCUUUUUUUUAAAGCCAUGGCUUAAUGUGUGCUACUUCCAUGACUCUUCCCCUGCUCCUGCACCACAGACUAAACAAACCAGAGUCUGACUUGUCAUGUCAUCCAAACCUUUACCCAAGGUUUGUUUAUCCAAACAAACCUUGUGUAGUAUGCCAGUAACAAACCUUGGUUACUGCUCUUGGUAUAUGUGGAGAGAAACAAACUAUGAGCCUAGGCUUGGGUGUUAUAACAAGUUAGACUCUGCUGUGUUUUUCAGUGAUACAAAAGAUGCAAAGGAGGAGAGCCAUGGAAACUUUUGAGCAAUGUUUACUAGGCAUGCUACUUGCUCACUUCAAACCAUAGUUUGUUUAAACUAUGAUUUAAUAUGACCAAACUGGGGCAGUUUAUGAAGGGGGAAUUAAUGAAAUGAUUUUUUAAAAUUCUGAUGAAUAUGGAUACAGUCAUACCUCAUGUUACGGACGCUUCAGGUUACAUGUUUUCGGGCUGCGGACCGCAGGAAACCCGGAAGUACCGGAACGGGUUACUUCCGGGUUUCGCUGCUCGCGCAUGUGCAGAAGCACUAAAUUGCACUUUGCGCAUGUGCAGAAGCGCCAAAUUGCGCCUGUGCAGACGCGAUGCUUCAGGAUGCGAACGCUGUGGGUUGCGGACAUGCCUCCAUCACGGAUUACGUCUGCAACCCGAGGUUCCACUGUAUAUCACUGGUUUAGAUGUUACUUUAAAAGGAAUAAUUUAGAAAUUAAAGUGAUUUAUGCAGAAAUCUUGGGGGACGCGGGUGGCGCUGUGGGUAAAACCUCAGUGCCUAGGACUUGCUGAUCGUAAGGUCGGCGGUUCGAAUCCCCGUGGCGGGGUGAGCUCCCAUCGUUCGGUCCCAGCUCCUGCCCACCUAGCAGUUCGAAAGCACCCCUAAGUGCAAGUAGAUAAAUAAGUACCGCUUUAUAGCGGGAAGGUAAAUGGCGUUUCCGUGUGCGGCACUGGUGCUGGUUCGCCAGUUGCAGCUUCGUCACGCUGGCCACGUGACCCGGAAGUGUCUUCGGACGGCGCCGGCUCCCGGCCUCUUGAGCGAGAUGAGUGAGCAACCCUAGAGUCGGUCACGACUGGCCCGUACGGGCAGGGGUACCUUUACCUUUACCUUUAUGCAGAAAUCUUAUAUCUGCUUAUGUAGGAGUAAGCCCCAAUGCAAUAAAUAGGGCAUUUUUGAACUGACAUUUUACUGCCAGGUUUGCAUUCUAUGUGAUGUAUGAAUCGUAACUUAUUUUUACAUCAGGCAUGCUCACAACACAAUUUAAUUUAUAUAGGCUACUGAUUCUUUUGAACCGGAAUGAGCAUGGUACACAUAGUUUAUCAUAUUUGAUGAUCUUACACACAGGUGCUCAAGGCCAUGGCCAACUGAGGCUUGCCCUGGCAUGUUCAUGCAACAAUAAACUUGGCAACAAUAAAGAUGGCAACAUGUUGCAGUUUAUGGUUAUACUAAUUAAUUCAUUCUAAUUUCAUGCAGGGAUUUGUAACAUAUGAAGCUACUUUAAUACCUUGGAUGUGCAGAUUGUUGGCCAUAGGGAUGCAUGCAUGUGCCAUUAUUUAUUAUCAUUGUCUUUAUAAUAGUUGUAAGUUUUUAAAUGAUGCUUAUUGUUGUGAUGGUCUGUUGUGAACCAUUUGUGAGGUCCACCGGAAAAGUGCAUGUAAAUAUUGCCUCCUCCAUGAGAGGUCCGGAGGAUGGCAAUAUGAGAACAGGCCUUUUCUGCAUUGGCUCCCCAUUUGUGGAAUGCUCUCUCCAGGAAGGCUGACCUGAAACCUUCAUUACACAUGUUUAGGUGCCAAGCAAAAACAUUUCUCUUCAAUCAGGCAUUUGGCUGAUUAACAUUCCAUGGUAGGGUUGCCAUAUGUCCGGAAACAGUGGGCAGAAAUGGCUGUAAUGUCCGGUAAAAUCCAGACGUACGGCAACCCAUAACAAAACUUUUGUAUCCAGAUUUUCACUUUUUGAAAUAUGGCAACCCUAUUCUGUGGCUUUUUAAAUGUGUUUGUGGGAGGGGAAGUUAUUGGUUUGCUUUUGUUUUGUUAUAUAUUUUGUAUGUUCCUGCCCUGGAGUUGAUAUCUGCAGUUGGGUGGGGAGUGGUUCUGGCUCCUUAGCAUCCUGUCAUUGGGAUCUGUAUGCCUGGCAGUGACUCAUGUGUGGUUCAUUUCUAUUACGGUACCCUGGCUCUGGAGCGCCCCCACCCUGAAAUUUGAUUGGCUUCAGCACUUAUUGGCAUCCCUAAGACUGGUGAAAACCUGGCUGUUUGUGCCAGCCUUUGGAUAUCAGCAGUGCUGCUAUUUGAUAUUGCUGAUAUGUUGUUUUUAUUGUAUUUUUUCUGGAAAAUGUGUACUAAACUGAGAUUUUCUUGCUUUAUUUAUGUUAUUAUUACCUCCCCAUCAUCCUAGAUCUUAGAAUGUAGGUUGGGAUACAAAAUAAAUAAAUAUUAUUGUAUUCUAUCGUUAAGUCACUAAAAUAUUUAUUUUUAAAAAUAUUUAAUAGACAGAAUAUAGUGAUUUGAUGCUGAAAGUAUCUGAUAUGAAAAUAAGCAGAUAAUUUAACUACGUUAAGUGUAUGCACUACCAUACUCCCUUCUGUUCCCAAAAUUAAAAGGUUACCAUCUAGAGUAUUCUAUCUGCUUUGUUAUCAUAGCACUGCUUAUUAUUGCAUCAGUAUUUCAAUAUUAAGUGAUCUUAAAGAUAUUUCAUCUUUCAUUUUGAACCCAGAAUUUGAAUCAGCAUUAGAAUGUCAGUGCUAUAAGAUAAGGCAUAACAAACUAAGUAGACAGCUGAAGGGCUCCUGUUGAAGGUGUUGCUGAGAAGGAUAUCUUGGUUUGUUCUCAGUAACCUUGUUUACAGGGACAUUUCAUUGCAACCAGAAAUUCAGCAGGAGGCUGCCUAGACUAAUGUCUGAGUGUUUGAAAUUGAUUGUGAGUGUCUUUUUCUUUAUGAACGUUACAUAUGCCUUAACAGCAUACUUAUGCAAAACUUUUCUAGAAGGUUUUUUUUGUGUUGUCUGUGAGUGUAUUGAAGAAAUAUGUGUCUAUAUCUGCAUUCAUGUACAGUAAAAGAAAAAAGAGGGAUGAUCUGAUCUGAUAAUGGUUUUCCAAUAUGCCACCCAGGAUUCAUUUGAUUUUAAAAGUCUCCUGGGUUUUAAAUGUGUAUUGUUGACUAGUCAAAAUAGUCUGUUAGGUCUAAAAAUUGAGAAAGCAUGUGUGUUAAUAAGCAGUUACAGUGAUGUGGGAUUCAACACUUUCUUAAGAUCAUUCAUUGAAAAAUGCAUAAAUAUAAAGGGUCAGAGCUAAAUGCUAGAAAACACAUUUUAAAUUGUUGCUAAAAUAUUUUGAAUAAUUAUGCAGGAUAUGUACUGGUCAUGCAUUUUAUACAGUAUUUUAUAACUCUAAACUAGUUGUAUUGUAAAGCUUUAUACAUAACUAUAUAUAACUUGUAUGAUAACUUAAUAAUGUCAGAGUUGUAUCCAAGAAGGCCAGUAUGGUCCUCGUUUGUCAUAUCUAAACACUCUAUAAAGCAGUGAUUCCCCAUUGUUAGUGGGCAGCUUUGUUUAAUUAUUAGGGCAAAAAAUAUGCAUGCAGACAAAAUCCUAAAUAAAUAGCCUCAGUCCUAAGAAGCAAUAAGGGUUACAGCAAUGAAACUUACCUAAUGCAAUUUUAAAUCCAUUCAGUAAAAAACCUUGACAGUAUCUGCCUUCCAGGUAGUGCACAUUUGGAAACAAUAUAUCUCCAUUUAAAUGCAGAUCUACAGUUUUCUCCAGGGGGCAGUUGGUGAAUCUUUCGACUGAACUGCUGGUACUUGAAAAACUAACUGAAGAUUUCCCCAUGAACAAGGGACUGUUUCAAGUCAGCUGUUUGAAUAAUGAUUAUAUAUUUUUUCUAAUAUUGUAGUUUUAUAUUUAUUUCAAAUGCCUUUUGAAAAACCAGACUGAGCUAAUACUACCUUUUUGUGUGUUUUUACUCAAAGCAGUCUUACCUUCAUUUAGAAUGUUUAACGAUAAAUAAUAAGUCUGACAAAUCAGUUCCUUGUUUUUACGUUGCCAUGAUGUUUGCAUGUGAAUUCUACACACACCCCCACCAGAUGGAUGGGGCAGACUUCCUUUGAUUUUGACCUAGAUUCUGUCUGAUUAUUCCUAUAUAGUGAGUACCUUGUAAUUUCCCACUGUGAAAAUAGGUGAACAACUGUUGAUGCCAUCUAGCAGAGCUGCAUGGACAAUAGGGCUAUGGUGCACAUGCGAUUUAACUCCAUCACUCCUUGAAGAUUUCAUUAUGAGAGCAAUGUGAAAACGGGUGCUUUGUUAAUAUGAGGGGUGGCAUGUGGGGGAAGGAAGUUUGGGGGUACAGUAGGACAAUGUUCAUCUUAUUAAAAUACUUUAAUUUGCUUUAGUCCAGGUGGUUUUAUGUUAACCAUGCUUAGGGUUCAAAUGAUGUCAACGCUUCACACAGAGAAACAGCAGAAGAUGUCAAGUUGAACAGACUGUGAAUACUGCAUGUUUUCAGUUACAUUUUCCACCUGUGUUUGCUAAAAACAGGGAAUACUCCUGGAUCUGAGGCUAGAAAAAUAUUUCAAACGCCUGAGCACAAGCAAACAUCCAUUUUUUAAAGGCAACAUACCUCACUAGGGAGGGAAAACUGAUUCAAAUUAAUAGAUAAUAGCACCAAAGAGACUAGGUAGAAAGGGAUUUUUCUUGGCCAUACUUAAGCAUACAGCCUGGGUUGGCUUCACAUACCCACACUUAUCACAUGGAAAUCCCACCCCCCAUCACUAUACCAAUAUUGCCUGUCAUGCAACUUGAAAAAGCUUUUGAAAGCAUAUACGGUAUGUAAAAAGGAAGCUUUGAGAGAGCCAAUGCAUUGUAGUGGAUAGAGAGUGCUGAACAUGACUUGGAGAGACAUGAUUUUAAAUACCCACCCAUUUACAAAUACUCAUUGGGUGACCUUGGAGCAAUAUUUGUUUUCUUACAUGGAAAACACAGCUGUGUGAAUCUAUUGCAGGUAUCCCUUAUAUCAGGACCCAUAUUCUCUUUCUAUUAAAGCAUCCACAGCUUUCAGGAACCUCUAGCAAAAUACUUCACCUUAAAACAAACAAAGUGGGGGGAAAGGUGCCGAGUCUUCUCCAAAAUUUCUACAAAUAGACCUAUAAUUUUUUUAUUGAAUGUGAAUACUAGGUAGAUUGCUUGAACAUGAGAGAGGUUAUGUGGUGCUGUUGGAAGUGCAGGUUGCAGUGACUCGGGACAGUAUCUUUUCAGCACUGGUGUCCAGAUUGUGAUAAUUCCCUGGAGUUUGUAUGGUUCACACAUGACAAAGCUUCCACUGAGUUGCAGUGAACAUUAUUUUUCCACUGGGCCUAUGACCUUGAGUGACUUUCUGUUGUCUCAGACUUUCCGGCUGUUCUGUAUGUAUAUGAUAGCUUUUGUUGGUAUGAAUUAAUUUAUGAAUUGCUUAAUUGUUGCAAAGGCUUCCUGGGGGAAAGGCAGCCUACAAAAGUAAGUAAGUAAGUAAGUAAGUAAGUAAGUAAGUAAGUAAGUAAAUAAAUAAGUGGGGAUAGGUGGACUCAGGGCAGAGUUUCUUCCCAGGUAACAUUAGUCCCACUUCUUAUUUCAGUGGAGUUGUUGCUGCUUUUUUUAAAGGCAUGGCCAAGAGGAACUAGGAUGACUAAUUCUUAUAUCAUGAUGCACUCCUUUCUUAAGAACAUAGGAAGCUGCCAUAUACUGAGUCAGAACAUUGGUCCAUCUAGCUCAGAACUGUCUACACUGACUGGCAGGGGCUCUUCAGGGUUUCAGACAGGGGUCUUUCCCAGUGCUAGCUGAAGAUGCUGGUGGUUAAACUUGGAUCCUUCUGCACGUGAAGCAGGUGCUGUACCACUGAACUACAGCCCUUCCCUUUCUUAACACAUAACCCCCUGAAAAUGCAUUACUGAAAACCCACUAAAGGAUUUGACUAUUAUGUUGUGCAUGUUGUGCAGAGACUGGAACAUUUUGUACAGUGUGAUGUUUCCUUUGAUAAUGGAAGGAGAGAAAAAUAUUAUUGAAGCCAUAGGAUAAGAGAAUGGUGCUAUUUUUCUAGAACAUAUUUUCUGAUGGGGAAUCUAGUGGCAGUUGCUUUGAAGCAUGUGUAAUUGAUUAUCAUACAUUUAUUUUAAAAAGGAGACAUAACAAGGAAUCUAACAUGAUGUUUUGGAAUAUAUCUGCUCUCCACAAUGUUCUUGAGGAAAAUGUAAGGUUGCAGGCAUCAUUUCAUGCCCUAUAUGGUUUUGAACAUAAAUCAAAGAAAUUGUUGGAGAGUUAUAGAUGUUCAUAGCAACUGUAACUAUAAUAAACACAUGCAGUAUAUAUUUUCCAAGCUAUUUUGUAUGAGCAAAAAGCUGUAGCUGGCAAUUGGUAUGAACAAUUCCACUUAAUCACUCAAAAUUUGUUUCUUCAUUCAUGAGAAAUACCAGUAUAGCAUAAAGCCAUACACCUUAGGAUUAGGUUUAGACAGUGCUUUUUUCUAAAAAAUAUAUAUGUUUAGGGGUACUCUCAUUUUCCUACUAUUGAAAUACUGCCCUUCAAUGAGGCCAAACUUAGAUUCACAAAAUGUUUAGGAGUAUGCGUACCCUUGCGUCCUCCCAGAAAAAAAGCACUGGGUUUAGUUUUAGAAACAUUGAUUAAAGCGGGGGAAGAGUAUGAAUUAGAUGUACUAGUCUCCUAAAAUCCAAGGCCUGAAUGUCACAAUCAUUUUCUAAAUUAAAGGUACUGUUAUUUUAGUUACAGACACUUUAGGAAUCACUUUUUAGAUGUAUUUUAAUUAUCAGUAAGUGUAAUACAGAUUUUAUCCUUGUUUCAUAAUAUGAACAUAUUUAAGGAAUUUAGGAAAGAAAAGUACAGUAACAGGACAGAAAGGAGUAUGCACCAUCUAUUCUCCAACAGCUUGUGUUAUCUACUCUGAUUAACUCCUUCAGAGUUUAUACCGUGAAAGUUAGCACUUUUAAAAGCAACACCACCUCUACUAACUUCAAACAAUGAAUGCAUAGACAUUUCAUAACGUCCCUUUGACCUGCUGUCGCUCCCUUACUACUAAAAAAAGAGUUUCAUUUUCUUCUUAGUUAAAUAACAUUCGCAAUAUAUAUACAUUUUUGGGUUGGGUGAGAGUAGGGGCAUGGCAGGGAGGUUCCUGAUACUGCAUAGUUUCAGCCACUUCAGAAUUCUUUAAAUACAUCUUUCUGCCCUGCAUGUUAACCAUUAUUUUUAACUACAUGACACAAAAGAGCAGGGGUGCCCUCAGGAUUGUGGGUGCCUACUGCCACACACGGAUGUGAAACAUCACAUGAACAUGCCUGCACAUGAUGUGUGUGACCUCAUACAGCCAGCAGCCAGUGAGGCACCCUUUUCCGCGGUGAGGGGCUUGGACUUGAACUCUGCCUCCACACCCGAAGCUCACCACCCAUAAAAAGAUGCCUCGCUGGCUGGCUGCAGUGAACAGAGCUGAGCUGCUUCUCUCCCUGCCGACUUUUUUCAAUGACUUUGUGGUUGCCCAGCCCCCACAAUCUGGAGAGAAGGAAAUUUGCAAAGAACAGUACAGGAGAACUGAACAAAAUAACCAGGCAUAAAUUAAAAACACAAUAUAUAAGUGCAAUAUAAGUGUGUUGCUGCCAACUAUAUAUUAAGAAAGAUAAAACAGCAUGUCAUAUGUUCUGCAACUUUAGACAUGUACAUGCAUCACUCAGUAUAAAUAAUAAUGCUGUUCAGUCUUUGUAUUUAAUGUGGAAUGAAGGUCAGGGUAGCGUUGUGCACUGUGUAAAAGGCCAGAUUUGAAUCAGGGUGCCUGGUUUUCAAAUCUUUAUUUAGACAAAUACCCCUCAAUCUAAUAUGAUUUGCAGGGGUACUGUGAUUCUACACUGGGAAAGAUGUAUGCUCUAAUUAACUCCUUGGACCACUAAAUUUAAAAAAUACACAGGGAAGCAAUUUUAAUUAGGUGUUUCUUAGUAUAGUAUAGCAUAGCACAGAGCCAAGGCUUAGUGAAUAGAGCACAUCCAAUCUCCAUUAUCUCCAGGUAUGUCUUAAAGCCUGGAGAGGCACUGCCUGUCAGUGCAAAUGAAACUGAGAUACAAUGGGCUGACUUAUCAUCAUAGAAUGAUAAGAGGUGGAAGGGUCCACAAAGGUCAUCUAGUCCAACUCCCUGCAAUGCGGGAAUCUUUUGCCCAAUGUGGGGCCUGAACCCACAACUCUGAGAUUAAGAGUGGCAUGCUCUACUGAAGCACGUGAACAUAAGCAGGUACUCGCUUGGCGUUAAUAAGGAUCAGGCAGACUCAGCAAUGGAGAAUAAGAAGGUGAAGUUUAUUGCCAGGCAAUAAGGACCCAGUUUGGAAUCUCUUCCAAAAGGAACUGGGACCCCGAUUGACAGAAAUCCAGAGGUCUUUAUACCUGAGCAGAUCACAGCAAAUCAUAGAUCAUGAGACAACCAUGAGGCCGUCACGAUAUUGCCAGCGAAAAUUAGCCAAUUAGCGAGCUUCUUGCCAUGCUUCCAGCUCCUGGUCAAGCACUGGUCAAGCACGGAGUUCUAGUUCUGCUUUCCGCUGCUUGCAGUGACGCUCUGUCUAACCUCUCCCCUAGUUAUGACAGGACAGGGAGUAUUGGAGAUUUUGUGGUUUGCUCUUCCUGUUCUGUGGAUUAAUUUAGCCUGUAUCUGAGGGGAUUUUGUACCAGUAUCUCUGAUUCACGUCUUCGCCUUGUUCAGGGUACACGGAUGUUUGUAGGGGAAAGGUCGGCUCCUAAUUUUGCUGUUUCAAGCAGUAUGCAGAUAGCUAAGGCACAGCUUCCCUUUGAUUCAAAAUGGAUUAUAAAAAUACUGUAAGCCCUGAUUAUGUAUGAGCAUAUAUGAAUAUAUUGAUUACUGAUAACUGAUUAUAUGAAUUGCAUAAGGGUAGCCCUUCUUCCUUGCCUCACUACCAACUGAAUUUAUAGAUUGGCCAGUUUAGAUUCAUUUCAGUGGGUUAUUGUAGCAUCAGAUUAAAGAAUUCCACUUUUGUAUGCGUGCUUCUCAUGUCAGGCAAGAGGCAUAGGAAGACUAGGAUAUACAUGCCUACAACAGUUCAUUGUAUAUUUUCUUCCAGUUAGAUCAAUGGCAUUGUGACCAGUUGGGGAGAAACUUUCACCCAAGAGAAUUGAUGCUAAGAUUGUUCAAGAAGGAGCACUGUACUUUAAAAUGUGGCAUUUACACGGUGCCACGCACCCUGCAUAGUACCCUUGAUUUCUCCGGCCUUCAUUUGCAGAACAAACAAAUACACACAAACUAUUACUAUGUUUGGAGGACAGUUUAAGGCUAUGAGCAGAAUUUAUUUUAAAAAUUUGGCAGUGGAGACUUACAUAUCCAGUGUCUUUAGAUUUUAUUUGGAAGAUAUUAUUAGUGUGGCUAUUAGCUAAAAUCAGCUCAAAUAUUUGUGAAUGAAAAUGCCUAUGAUGAUGUGUAAAAAGUUAUAGCAAUUACACGUCAAUUGAUUUGUUCCUUCAUUUAUUCUAACACGGCAAGUUCUGUUUGUGAUGCCAGUUAUCUAGGUGAAGUCAUCACUGUGUUCAAAUCUACAUUGUAAAGAGAGCUCUGAAUGAAUUGAGUUGAGACAACGUGAGGAAAUGAAAGGUAAUGGUAUUAUAACUAGGGCUGCCAUAUGUCCUGAUUUUCCUGGGAUUUCAAAGGCAGAACUGACAUCUGGGGGGGGUAUUUCCGAAAGGCGGCACUUUGUUCUAGAUCUUAGGUAAGUCAAUUGAAAAAUCGUGGGAUGGUUUUUGUAAAAAAAAAGCUCAAUGACUUUCAGGGUUUCCUGGUUUUUACUUUUAGGAAUAUGGCAACCCUAUUCAUAAUCCUAUUUUAGGUGGGUUUAGUAAGGUGUGUUCAAAAAAUGAAUGGCUAGGUUGAAGUACAGUGCUGAUACAGUAUUUCCAAUAUUAUAUGGGGUAAUAAAGAUACAAUAAUAACCAGUUCUGAACAUUCUAAAGUCAUGUCAAAGAAAUAAUACAGGGAGCCUGUUUUCAGGGGCUUAGUUACAUUGGACUGAGUUUGAGGAGGAAAGAAGAAGGAAGUAACAAUGCAUUUCUGAUUCUUCAUCCUGUCCUAAAUGCAGGAGCUGAGGCGGAAGAACAUAUUUUUCCUGCCCUUUCAAAAUCUCUUCUAGGAUUACAGGGAUGUAAACACAUUAUUGGUGCUUUGUCCCACACACCCAACUUGUUGUUGUUGUUUAGUCGUUUAGUCGUGUCCGACUCUUCGUGACCCCAUGGACUAGAGCACGCCAGGUACUCCUGUCUUCCACUGCCUCCCGCAGUUUGGUCAGACUCAUGUUUGUAGCUUCCAGAACACUGUCUAACCAUCUCAUCCUCUGUCGUCCCCUUCUCCUUGUGCCCUCCAUCUUUCCCAACAUCAGUGUCUUUUCCAGGGAGUCUUCCCUUCUCAUGAGGUGGCCAAAGUAUUGGAGCCUCAGCUUCACAAUCUGUCCUUCCAGUGAGCACUCAGGGCUGAUUUCCUUAAGAAUGGAUACGUUUGAUCUUCUUGCAGUCCAUGGGACUCUCAAGAGUCUCCUCCAGCACCAUAAUUCAAAAGCAUCAAUUCUUCGGCGAUCAGCCUUCUAUAUGGUCCAGCUCUCACUUCCAUACAUCACUACUGGGAAAACCAUGGCUUUUACUAUACAGACCUUUUACUAUACGGAACUAAGUUGGCUUUAAGAAAGUUUAAGGAGCAAUGCAGUUGCUUGGUUGGGUGAAGCAACCUGUAUCUCCAGUUGGCUGCAGUUGUUGCUUCUGCUGAUUUGUAAAGGUGAGAGUGGCUUUGCAGAGCAGGGCUAGCUCCUCAAUUGGGUCUAUCAAUUUCGAUUUUGAAUUGAAGACACAGGAGGCAUCUCCACCUCUUUACUCUCUCAUCCAUUACUGAAAUUUUCUAAACUCAAAUGAGAAAAGAUGUAAGAAAUGCACAAUAGUUUCUGUCCACAAAAGCACCCCAACUGUAGUAGAUUUACUCAAUAGAUCUAAUCUAUUGAGUCUGCUACCUCUUCCCACACUCCAUCUGAAGACUGUUAUCAAUACAGCCUCUAUGGCUUUAAUACCAAGCCAGCUUUUCAUUACAACCUGCCUCCCUUUUGCUUGAAACCCAGCCUGAUUAAGAGUUCUAGAGAAGCCGAAAGAUUACUCACUGUUUUAGAAAAUUCAGGUUGGCCUAAUAAAGGGGUUGCUCUACUAUAGAUUUUGGAUUUUGUUGUUGCUCUUUGUGUAACUUGAUCAAGGUAAUUCAGCAGAAGCAUGAGGUUGUGGCAGAGACAAAAAUCUGACUCCAGCCCAGUGCCUGAUAUUGUAUACCAUACUCCUGCCUCAUUCUUCAGUAUACAAAUUAUUUCACCCUCUGCUAGGAAGUAUCAGCUCAGUCACCUAGGAUGCAAACUUGCAGAAAAUAACAAGGUAUUCUAGGAGGAAAUUAUUGGGGUGUAGAUAUUGUAGGAACUGGUUCAGAUGGCUAUGAAGGUGGCUUUGUGUGGUGUAGUGGUUAAGAGCGGUAGUCUCGUAAUCUGGGGAACCGGGUUCGUGUCUCCGCUCCUCCACAUGCUGCUGCUGGGUGACCUUGGGCUAGUCACACUUCUUUGAAGUCUCUCAGCCGCACUCACCUCACAGAGUAUUUGUUGUGGGGGAGGAAGGGAAAACGAGAUUGUUAGCCGCUUUGAGACUCCUUCGGGUAGUGAUAAAGCGGGAUAUCAAAUCCAAACUUCUCCUCCUCCUCUUCUUCUUCUUCUUCUUCUUCUUCUUCUUCUUCGUGCAGUUCACUGCUUCUAUUGAUAGAAAUUUGGUCAUGUGUCUUUUCAACCAGUUACAUCUAAGUAACAUACAGAGGAAUAGACAUCUCUAUGGUUUACUUAUGUAAUAAAGUCUACUCAAGACCCAAAACUUUUGUGUACAAAAGUUCUUGUAUGUAUACAUAUAUUCUUAAGAUCUUAAUUUUUUUCCUGUCUGAAUUCUAGGGCAUACCCAUUUGCUGUACUGUCAGUUUUAGUUUCUGCCUUUUGGAGCAAAGUUCACAAUAACAAAGAAAUAGCACACAAAAUACUGCUAGCUAGAAUACUCAGAAUGCUGGGGGCGGGGGGAUAAGGGUGCUGAAUAAAAGAAAGAAUCAUAAACACUCUUGCAAUGCUCAGAAACAAGUUUGUUUCAACAACAAUUAAAAUAAACUAUGAUUAUGUGCUUAAUCAUGGUGCAUGUAAUCCUACACAUCAAUUAUGCCUGUGUGAAAGAUACACUGAGGCAUCAGCACAAUGUCUAGCAAAUUGUAUGCAUGCCGAAUCCACAACAGGAGAGGAAAACACAUUACUUCAAAAAGCACACAAUGGAGCAAAAACAACUGCCACAGUCUCCAUGCCUGCUAAUCAUGGACUAUUGUGACAGUUGACAUCUCUGUGCCACUCUGAUGCAAAGGCAACCAGUGCACUGACAGAGAUGCACCCCCAAGGACAGGAGCAAUGAGCCAGCUGCUGCAAGUCCCAGAUAUCCCUGUAUAAUAACAUAGGAAGAUGAAUUAUUGCAAGUCAGACCAUUGGUCCAUCUAGCUCAGUAUUGUCUACACUGAUUGACAGUGGUUCUUCCGGAUUUCAGAAGUUUCUCCCUACCUGGAGAUUCUGGGAAUUGAACCUAGAAACUCCUGCCUGCAAAGCAGAUGCUCUACCACUGAGCUAUUGUCCUGCAGCCAGGGGUUCAUUCCUUUUAAACCACACACUGCUCACAAGGACUGUUUUCAGUCCGGACAUACAAAGGAAACAAAGGAGAAACCUCACAGCACAGAGAAGAAACAAUCUGAGACACCUCUAUGCUCACCUAGGAACUUUUUAUUUAUUACAAGAUCAUAUGCAAGAUCCAUUGUACUCUCUAAAAUAAGCAAACACUUGAGUUGUUUCCAGGUUUGCUCACUCUUGAGUCUUGAAAUGAUCCUGCAGUAGCACUGACUACUGCCUGAAAGCAGUAACUUGGAUACUGAGUAGCCUUCCUUAAAAAAUGAAGCUCUGAUAAUCCAUCAGAGGAUGCCACUCAUGGACGAGACAAAAGAGGCAAUUUUCACAAAGUUCUACUCCCCACUGCAGCUUUCUGUGCUACCUCUCUGGAGCAGAUAUCAGGGGGCUGCUGGGGGGAAGGGGAAUUGGUCAUAUCUCACCCUCUUUUCUCAGGAGCAAGAGGUUCAUUGAACAGCACACUGUUCACAGGAUCUCUGGCUCCAACCCGGUGUAUAUAUAUUCUGAAGCAAAGUGCUGUAAAACCACUGUGAAGUCAAUGGUCCUGACAUGAAGCAUUCUUCCCUAAAUCACUGUGUGCAGCUACUGAAGAAAGGCAGAACCAAACAAAUUAAUCUCUAAGGUACCAUAACACGUGUUUUAGUUCUGCUACAUACUAACAAUGUUGAUCGUGUGUUUGCACUGCACCACAAUGCUGACUGCAGAAUAUGGUACCAGACUCCAGUCACAACCCCAAGGGGACAUGCUGCUCUCUUGAUUAGGUGUAGUUAUCUGUGCCUGUGUUAAAGAAGAAGCAGCCGCCAUAAUUCCUAGAAUACUAGGAUGUCACUGUCUUUGCUUACCUUGUGCUACAUCUAGAUCUAGAUUUAGCAAAUUUCUUAGUUGUCUACUACAAAAAAAGUCUCUAUGUGGCUUUCAAUAAAUACAAAAAAUUCAAAACAAUGUAAUCUUAUCAUCAGUAAUUAACAUACCAGACUAUAGUGACCAAUAAAACUGCUAAAAAAUCACUGAUGUCAUUCUGAAUUAAGCAAUACUGAUAAAAAGUAAUAAGGUACCACAAAAUGAAAGUUCAGACAAGUCUUCAAAUAGUGCUGAAAAGAUGGUAAAGUUGGUGCCAGGCAGAUAGCAUUACAAGACUGGAUUGGGUGAGGUGGGGACAACUGAAAAGGUCAUCUGCUUUGUUGCAGGUCUCUGAACCUCUCUUGGAGAGGGCACCUGGAGAAAGACCUCAAACAAUGUUCUCAGGGUAUGAGUUGGUUCAUGUUAAGAGACGCAUUUCAAUGGGAAUUGGAGUUUUAUGCCCCAACCAACUAAUCCUUAUUAUUAGUCUGACCACUGCAUUUUACAGUAACUGCACUUAUUGAACUGUCUUCAAAGGGAGUCCCAUGCAUCGUGAAUUGCAGAAAUCUGACGUAGAGGUUACCACAGCAUAGCUAGGUUAUUUUUGCCUAGAUAGGAGUGUAACUGUGGGAGGGUCUCUGCAUCAGUGAAACCACUUCAAGUAACAAUGCUGGAUCCAGGAGGACCCUCAAACUAAGAAUCUGAUCCUUUUGGGAAGUGCAACCCUAUCCAGAACCAGAUAAACACUGCUAAUCCAGGCAGAAGACCCACCAACAGCAUAUCUCUUUUGUCUGGAUUGAGCUUCAGUUUAUUAGCCCUCAUACAGUCCUUUACUACAACCAGGCAAAGGGGACUUUUGGAGUAGGAGGGCAAGGGGCUCCCUUGAGCCUGCACCUAACUGUACUGGAGGAGCACCCUGUUGCAUUAAAAAGCUGAGGAAAAAUAACAUAGAUCUGUUCCAUUUCUCUUGCACAUAAUAUUGUUUUAGUUGCAAUGGCAGAAGCCCCUGGUUAGGUUGCUGUUGCUGAGGCACAGGACUGGCUUGCCCCAUAGCUGCUCUUUAGUGGAGUUACCAUUAUUGAGAUAAUGUAUGUGAAACACUUUGUGUUAUAUAGAUGCUAAGUAUUGUUAAUUUGGGUCAGGGUUUGCUGUGGGUAUAAAGUUUUCAGUUGCAGGGCAUGUUCUGAAGGCAAAUGCCUUGUUGAACUAAGCAGGGUUUGGCCAUUUUCUGGAAGGGAGGCCACCCGGGAAUUUCAUGAAUGACACAAUGAAUUUCAUGAUGGAGGAAAGUGGUGAUAUAAACAUAAUAAUUACAUAUGUUACAUGUAUGUGUGUAGGUAGGUAGCUAGAUAGUAACAUAUAAUAUAUGUACAGAUGUUUGCUUAAAGUAGACUAAAACGGAACAUGAAUCCAGUAAUGACUCUCAUUCCAACUCAGAGAGCAAUGUGCUCUUGUUAUAGUGAAAAUGCAUAUCCUAGAUGUAUUGACAUGUGAAUAUUCCUUCCUUAAUGCAGUAGGACUUAUUUCUCAGUAAACAUUUCCCUGUGCAUGCUGCACAGCUCUAUGCACCUUUACUCAGAAGUAAAACAUGUUUUGUAUGGGACUUAUUAAUUAUGCAUAAUUAUGCAUGCAUGAUAUUGCACCUUUGAGGAAGUUCACAUCAUAGUGUUAACAUAUACUGUGGAAGUUCUACUGAAAUCAGUGGGGCCACCAGGCAUUGUUUUGGGAAUUGGAUUGUCAGAAGAAAACGUAACAGUUUAUAAGCGAAAAACUAAAUUAGGAUAACAAAGCAUUUUUCAGAACUGUCUGCAGUCCACUAUGCAGCCAAACCACAGAAUAGGUUAGGAUGUCUGUUAUGAAGGGGUAAUAAAAGCUGCCCUUGCCAUAAUUUCUUCUUCUCUAUCAUUAAAGGCACAAGAACCUUGAUUGUCUUGCUGCUAGCUCCUUAAGUAUUUCCCUCUCAGGAAUACAUAAGGAUUGUGGAAUAUUUGCCAACUUAUAAUAAAACCAAAAACUAACAAUACACUUUAAAGUUAUUUUUGCAUGUGCAGGAGUAAGCACAACUUAUUUGAGUUGUGUGAAGUUUGUCAAAGGCUGCUUUGCACUCCAUAGUCUGGCACAAGCUUCACUGAAAUGUGAUGCCAUUGGUUUUUCAGAAAAGGUUUCUUUCUGCAGGGCUGCAAACAGGCAUCAGCUGCUACAACUAGGGAGCAAAUCAACCUUCACAUUUUUAAACAGCUUUUUCCCAAGCCUGAGACUUUUCUCCUAAGAUUUAUUCUCUAUUUGGGAAGUUCCCUCUUUAUUUUUAAAAAACUAUAUAUUGUCAGAUUUAGCACUUUACUCAUGUAAUCAGAUCAGAGCUGAGAUCAUUGCUGCAUGGUAGAAAAGGCAUCCUUAAGACAUUUGUCCUUGAAACUGCACCAAACUCUUGGAAGAACCCAGAACCUGUAAGUAUGUUUGAUUUAAGCAAUGAUAGUGCAGUGCAAACCUGCAAUCAACUAUUAUACAAUAUCCGAUUAACAGUGUCAUAGGGAUUUUUCUUCCUCCCCCUCCCCCGACAUUCUGUUACAUUCAUUUUCAGUUCGUUGUAAGGAAACAAAUCAAUUCAGGCUUCUGAUACAGUGACUUUGCAGUAGAUGAGCUAGUAAAAUGUUUGAUUUUAACUAUUUGUUGUGUUCUUGUGGCUGGUGGGACAGACAUUACAUCCACCAAGCUAUAGGUGACUUUUCUGCUGGUUUUUUUUUUUUAAAGGAAUUUAAAUGUGUGUUGUAUCUACCUUGUAAACAAACAGUCCCCUCUCUCCCAAAAUAACAAGCCACUCCAGACAAACAGUAAGUAAUGAGGCAAACACAAUCCAUCGAUAUCUACCUUAAUUAACACCAAAACAUAUGAGUUUGCAAUCUUAAUUUACUGGUAAAGAAUACUUUUGCCUUAAUCGAAUUCUACUUAGUUCUGUCUGUUUUGUAAUUUACUAUCAUGUCUAAGUUUCUUUGCAUAGACUGCAGUCUCAUUAAACCUGUACUUAAGCACUCUGUGUUUACAUUACAGAAACAUCCUGAUUGUUGUUCUUAUUUUAUUGUUUUUAAAUAUAUUUAAGAAAUGACACUAGGAAAUAAAUGUCAGUUUUAUUAUUCUGGAAAGCUUAGGGUGUAUGUAGUAGUCUCCAAAUCCAACAGUACAAACAUAUUCAGUUAUAAGCUCAGCUUAAACUGGCGAGAAUGGUUUCAAAGUAAACAUGUUUACGAUCAAGGUGCCAGAUUUUGACAUGUCCCCGCUUGUAGCUACAGCUAAUAUAUAUAAAAAACCCUUGAGUUCCCUUUCAAUAAAUUUUUAAUAUACAACAAUACCUAUAUUUAUAAGAUUAAUUUCUCCCAGGUUAGCCUGAUUGAUAGCUGAAUUGUGGUUCCUUAAGUGCUUUCUUCAUGAAACCCACAGAAGAACUGCAUUCCAUUUAACUAGUGAAUGUAAAAACUGGUAACCAUGGAUUCAGCCACCACUAACUGCUGAGUGCAAUGACUUGUUGUAAACAAUACAAAUGAGCCAGGAUAGCAGAAGCAACCAGACAUGAAAUGAUUUUAAUAGAAAUUAUAGGAAGGGUCAUGUGAUGCUAUAUCAGCUUGUGUUCACUAUUAAAGGAAAAGUGUUUCAUUUUCUUCUUCUAAUGCUCAGUUUAAAUAGUGUGUUUCUUCCAGGCUCAUAGUUACAUAGUAUCCACUGAAAGGGUGGUAGGGAGUAAUUCUCUGAAAAUAUUUCUGGUUUAAUAGCAUAUUAAGUGUCAAUUUAACAUUAGAACAGCCAUACUGGAUAAGUUCAAUGACACAUCAUCCAGCCCAAUAUUCUGUCUCUGACAGUGACCAGAUUCAGUUGUUUCAGCAACACUUAACAAUACAUUGUUUUGUUUUGCUUCACUUUCUAAAAGCAAGUUUCUGUACCUUUUUAUGGACUCCCAGAUCAUACCUGCAAGUAUGUUGGUAAUGUCUGUAGAAAUCUGCAGUCAUUUAUAGCUGCUUCUUGGAAGCCGUCAUGGCAGAGGAAAGGGGCUUGAAUUUUGGAAUCUGGAUUAAGUAUUGUACACCCCCAAGUCCUGACCUUGAUCUGGCACCUUGUGCAUAGUUUCAAGUAAUCAAGUGCUAUACAUUGGGGUAAAAAUAUAUUUAUUUCACAGAUAUGACCUUGGUGUCAUAGUGGUGGCCCGACUGGACAUCCUGACUGGACAUCCUUGGAGCACUCCACAGCUGGGGAGCCACCAAUGAACAGCCCUGUUCAUUUGGUGCAACCAUCUGCAGCUCUUUUGGGAGGGCACACAUGAAGAAGGACUUCAGAAGAUGAACACAAGGUCUAGGCAACAUCACAUGGGAGGAGGCAUUCAUUAAGGUAUUGGGUUCCUGAGCCACAUAAUGCUGUCUAGGUCAAAACCAGCACUUUGAAUUGAGCUGGAAAACUAAUCAGCAGCCAAUGUAAUUGGGCCAGACUUGAUGUUAUAUGUUCAGGCCUCCUGGUCCCAGUCAAUCAUCUGGCUGCUGAAUUCUGUACUAACUGCAGUUUCUGAACUGUCUUCAGAGGCAGUCUCACAUACAACACAUUGAGGUUGCCAAAGCAUAGACAAAUUGUGUACCCACUCCUUUACGGGGAGUGCACAUCCAUCCAGAGCAGGCUGAACCUCACCUGUCUUCUCAAGCAUUCCCUUGCCUGUGCAAUUACCUGCCAUGUGUAACUUUUAUUCAACUGCUGAACCUGAGAAGCACAUUCAGAUGUGUGCAGAACAAAAUGUAGUAGCGGCACAUGUUUUUUAAGCAUGCAUUUACCACAACUUUUGCAUUUCAAGAAGAUUUAAGUAGAUAUCUAAUAUAAAUAGAGAAAAAUAAGCUUCAAAGUUGUGGCGAAAAGGUUAAUAAAUGCUUUGACUUUGAUUUCUCAUUCACUGUCCCGCAAAUUCAUUUUCUUCAUUUGAAGCCAUUGUCCUUUGGAGUCCUGAUAAGCCAUUCUGAUGGUAGGGACAUGCAAAUCAUUUGCCCUGUUGGUAUGUCAUGUUUCAAGAUUUCCUACUUUUUUUCUGUCUCCUGCCUAUCCUUUAUAAAGUUUAGCUAUAGCUAACAUCACUUCCAUACACAGUAUGCAUUAGCAUACUUUUUAAUGUACUGUAUGUAUUUCAAACUCCUUCAAAACUUCCUUAAUGAUGCCAUGUUUAGCUAGUAUCUGCUCUUUCUGCUGUGCUAGUUGCUUCCACCCAUUCCUCUGUUAACAAGAUAAGACUUCGCAAUUGUGAAAUAAUCAGUGAACCAUUAAAUUAAAUAAAAACCAAGGUACUGCAGAAAGCUGUGGUCAAGGCUGCAAUCCUCAACAUAUUUGCUUGUGAGCAAACCCACUGAAAUUAAUUAAUAUAUUAAAAUUAUAGCAAUUCUGAUUUCAAGUUAUCGUAAAGUAAAUCUGAAUUGUACAUCAGUAAUUUGCAAGUUUCAGAAACAUUACCGGAAAGAUAAUGUUUAUCUGCAUAAACAUGGAUGCUUGGACCCUUAAACCUGUUGCAGUUUAGCUUUCAUAGAUGUCACAGAUACUCCAUUUAUUGCGCUCUUCGUUACGGAUAUCAGAGUUUAAUACAAGGGAUGUCAUGUGUUAAAUCUUACAGUGUAGUCUGCUAAGUAUGCUACACUGAGUUUGAUGGUACUUACUCCUAGGUAAAUGUGUAUAAGGCUGUAGCCUUAGACAUUAUUUUGUUUAUGUACUAAAAUAUUUAUAACCUCCCUUUUCUAUGUGGCUACUAGGAUGGGGUCAAUUAUUAUUGUUAUUUCUUAAAUUUGUAUACCACCUUUUAUCUGAAGAUCCCAGGGUGGUUCACAAAAAAAGGAAAAUGAGAAUACAAAAUACAUAAUAAAACCAAAUCAGAAACAAAUCAGUAACACCCCCUCCUCCCACAAACACAUUUUAAAAACUAUAGAAUGUUAAUCAGCCAAACUCAUUGUUAAAGAGAUAAAUUUUCACCUGGUGCCUAAAGGUAUGUAAUUCAGGCAACCUCCCUUGGGAGAGCAUUCCACAAAUGGGGGCCACUACAGAAAAGGCCUGUUCUCGUGUUGCCACCCUGCAGACCUUUAAUGGAGGAGGCACAUGAAGAACAAAUAAUUCUGUUUCAGUUUCUUAAAAACUAAUUGCAAUAGUUUUUAAUCUACAUUUACUUGUAAAUGACUAAACAAUAGGCUUGGGGGGGGGGACACUACAUUUGUGAUGGCCCAUAUAAAUGCUGCAGUAGGAAAUAUCUUAGGAAAGGCAUAUGUGAGAGUGAAGGGAGACGUGUCUUCUAAGAUAGUGCCUACCAUUUUUGCUUUUUAGAAAUGAAAUUUUUAGAUCAGAGAUUCUCAGGCUUUCUACCCUGAGUUGGGUAAAAAUUACUGUGUCCCACCUGUCACAAAAUGGUGGCAUGUGUUGGCCACUAACAUCACUUUCUACUGUUAGCUAAUCCAUCUUAGAAAUUGUUUUAAACAUUGCCACAGUGUUUUCCUUGUGCAAGGAGUUCAUAGCUAAGCCUUGCCCGGGCACGGGCUCUUGGAGGUAUUGUAAACAAUUAAAUUAAUUUUGCAAAAAUCUUUUGAUGAAGCAGUUGAAUGCCAACCUAAUAGUUGGUGCCCUAAUAGUUGUGCAUAGUGAAUCUAGGUUUCUAAAAAUGAGCACUGAUCAGCGAACGUUUUGUUGGGAUGCCAUAGUGUGACAUUCCUAUUCACUGGCUUACUUAUAGGCUUGAUUUUAGCAGCUAUAGAUAUUGUAAGAUAUUGCCUGCGUUCAGCUAGUGAACCAUAUUACGCAUGAUAUGGAUACAUGCACACUAUACAGGAAGGCAAAAGAUAAAAGAUCAAUUCUUAUGGAUCCUGUAGUCAUGAGCUUUUUAAGGAUGAAUUACAGAAACUUUGUAAUUAUUGUGGGUAAUCUUGCAGAAAAUUAAAUCUUUGAGUUUUGCAUGUGUGAGGAAGUUUGGGCUACAUGGCUCACCAUAGCUUUGUGAGCUUUCUGUGCAGUUGGCUCCUUGGUUACCUGUCAGGCUUUUGUUUUAUUUAAUUUCACUGCAACUAAAAUGCUAUUCUUAAGCAAUCCAUGGGAAGCAACAUCAAACCCAAAUCCAGGUUUUCUUUUUUCCUUCCUGAAUUCAAAGAUAACACUGGUUGUUGUCUGCGUUUUUUCAGUUGAUUUAGGACGAAUCUGAUGCACUGAAUCCAAAAAUCACAUUGGUUUUGCUCAAUCAGGUCAAGUUUUUGAGCUAUGGCCACAUGUCUUUUUUAUGUUUUUGUUCACAUGUACGCUUGUGUGGAGCAUUUUAGAAGAAGUUGGUGGGGGUAAAAGGCCAUGUUGAAUAAUUGUUUUGAUUGGAAAUGAUUAUUUUAAUGACAAGAAGUAUUCAGGUGCGAUAGUUCUGGGUGAUUAUAUCGAAAAGGGAUCAGUUUGAAGUAAAAAAAAACUCCAUUUUUUCUCGGAAGAGAAGGACUUGGUGUACUGUGCAGAUAUUGUGCAGCUUCUGCUCAAGCUUGGAGUGCCACAGUACGAACCCAAAGAUUGGAGACUGUUCAUUGACAGCAGCAAGCGAUCACUGAAAUGUGUUCUGCUACACAACGGCAACCAGUUUGCCUCUAUACCCCUGGCUCACUUGAGUACACUGAAGGAGAACUAUGAAACGGUGAAGUAUGUGCUGGAGAAAACUGGUUAUGAUCAGCAUAAGUGGUUUAUUUGUGUUGACCUGAAGAUGGUGAACUUUUUGUUGGGACAACAGUCUGGCUUCACCAAGUACCCAUGUUUUCUGUGCAUGUGGGAUAGUAGGGACCGUGCUCAGCAUUACACGAAGAAGGACUGGCCUGUGCAGGAGGAAUUGGUGCCUUGCAAAAAAAGGAACAUCAUCAACGACCCUCUGGUGGACAGAGACAGAAUACUCUUCCCACCGCUGCACAUCAAGCUCGGCUUAAUCAAGCAGUUCACCAAGGCUCUGGACAAGGAUGGUGACUGCUUCACUUACUUGUGCCAGGCUUUUCCAGGAUUGACCAUGGAGAAGUUGAAAGCUGGCAUCUUUGACAGUCCUCAGAUCUGUCAGCUCAUCAGAGAUCCAGAGUUCAGAAACUCAGUGAACGAAGUGGAACUGGAAGCGUGGAAGGCAUUUGUUCUGGUAGUGAAGAACUUUCUUGGCAACAAUAAGGCCAGAAACUACGCAGAACUUGUCAACAACAUGCUGACUGCUUUCAGAAACCUGGGCUGCAACAUGAGCGUCAAGAUGCACUACCUAUUUUCACAUAUGGACCGGUUUCCUAAGAACCUGGGUUCAAUGAGUGACGAGCAGUGGGAGAGAUUCCAUCAGGACAUGAAAGAGAUGGAGACCAGGUAUCAGGGUCGCUGGGACGCAGUCAUGAUGGCUGACUACUGUUGGACUCUGAAGAGAGACCUCCGUGCUGCUGAGCAUUCCUGGAGUUCCAAGAAAUGGAAGUUCAAGCCCUGAAGUUUGAAAAAUGGUGAAGCAAGAUGCAAUUUACAUGUACUUACCUUUAUCAAUACCCACCAUUCAGUUUACAGUAAACCUGACCUGAUGGAGAGAAACGGAUGCCAUUUCCUGAUUCAGCAAUGCAAAAAUACCCUAAAUCAGUUGUAGAAAUCUAGACAACAUUGAAAAAGUAAAAAAUUGUUGCCCAGUGUAAUGUUUCUCAGAACGAUAAGUCUUUAAAAUUCUGGCCUUUUGAGGGUGGCUUUGGAACCUUGUUGAAGUUUGUAAGGGAAGAGAGAGAGAAUGCUCUUUGUUUCAUUUUUGCAUUUUGUUUUUUAUUAAUCUCUGAUACCAUGACUGAAUAAAAUAUAGAAUACAGGGAAGACUUUGGGGUCAUAUUUCAGUAACAUCUCAUUUUAACAUGGCAAUAGUAUUCUAAAUGGGGUGAGAGCAGAAACUCUGGAUUAUAAAUGCUGAUGAAAAGGCAACAUACAUUAAUAUGUGUGCAUCUUUAUCUUGUGUGUAUAUGUAUGUUAAUGCCAGUAACAGGGUUUAGAGGAAAAAACAUCAUUUUAACUAUAAUAUAUCAGUAGAAGCUUCUGACCUUAAUGUGUGGUGCAAUGUUUAAAAAUUAAAUUAAUGCUUCUAAUUGAAAUAUGGAGAUCUCUGACAACUAUACUUCCAAGGUAUUUACUGAAGACACCUUCAUGCUAGACAAGAUUUCAUUGUCUCUAUUCUAUGAUGUAUUUCCCUCCCAUAUUUACAUUUCUCAGCUGGUUGUGAAUGAAACCCAGAGUGGUGUGGUGCUUAAAGUGUCAGACUAUGGCUAUGGAGACUUUAGUUCAAAUCUCCCUCAGCAAAGAGGUGAUCUGGAGCCAAUCACUUUUUUUUAGCUUAAUUUUCCUCACUGAGUUGUGAAAUUUUUUUAAAAUAAAGGGAACCAUGUACAUCACCUUGACUUUCUAGAAGAAAGAUUUAUACAAAUUGUCUAAAGGCUCCAUAUUACCGAAGUGCAACAGUAUCUCAAUUUUUCAGGUUUACUUAGAAAUGAAUCUCAAUGGAGCUUAUUCUCUAGCAAAUGCAACCAUACAAUGCAAUCCCAGAGUGUUCAAUUGAGUUUACUCCCAAGCAAAUGUUCUCCCUGGAUCAGGGCAAUAGCAUGGGGCAAAUGGUUAAAGCUGCUUAGCCCCCACCAGGCCAUUAAUUAUGACUGCUCUCAUUUGCCUCCUGUUUAUAUAUAUAUAUAUAUAUUUAAAAACCAUUCACACAAUUACUGAUUGCACAAAUGAUGUCUCAUCAAGUACAGGCAUUAUUUCCCUGUAACCUGAUCCUAUAUGGCUAGAGAAUGGAUCUAAAUGAGGCAACCAUGUGGGUAUUUAUCUAUUUUAUCUAUGCUUAGUGUGUGUGUGUGAGAGUGCAUGCAUGUGUUGAUGUAAAAAUUGGGGUUUGGCUUAAAAGUCGCUUGUUUCUUUCUCCCCUUGGUUGGACAUCACACGUUUUCUCAAAAUUUGGAGCCCCGAACCAAAUUCUAAGUGUUUUACAUCAGUGUGAAGAAAAGAGGCUGAGUGUAAGCAAGCUAGGAUGGGCAAUUAAGAUUUUUCAUAAGCAGUACUGUGCUGCUUCCACUUUAGAUGGAAGCAGUACAUGAGGAUGAAGUCAAUAUAUUUGUAUCCUGUUAAAUCUAGGUUAUUUCCAGCCAUAGCAGUAUCUAUGCAAUGACACUUUUGUGUGUUUUCCCACAUCUCCCUUUGUGUACAUCUCAAUACUUAAAGUCAAACUAGAUGUUAAGUUAAACAGGCAGUUUGACUUUGAUUGUUUUCUUACUAGCUUGGUGGGUGGGUGGAUGGGCACCAGGAACUCUCCCUCCCUAACACAAAGUUGCUAUUUAUGUUGGGAGUCAAAAUUCUCUCCACACACAGACAUUUUGAGAGGGUGAGAAUUUUUUUUGGGGGGGGGGAACCAUAGUGCAGAAGGUGGUUAAACACACACCAUCACCAUGCCCCAGUCCCAAUCAUGAUUUCCCUCCAUUGCUAUCCAUUUACAAAAAAAGAUAAAUAUGCAUGACCUAACAUUUAACAUAACGUGUAAUUUGGUCCUAACUGUAAAAUAUUUGGUCCUUGAGCACUCCAGUUCUGGUCCCCCAACUCAAACUCACUUGAUACCCUCAACAUUUCAUUGCUCAGCUGCUCUCAAAAUUGUGUAGGUCCUGGCACAGGGCCUUUUCAAGCAUUGGAAGGUGUGUUUUUUUUAAAUGUUUCAUUUUCUUUUAAUUUGCAAACUAAUCUACAUUAUCAGUAUUGCCAGAGUAUGCAGAAAUAGUACCCUAUAUUUUGUUGUUGACGUCCCUUGUUUCACUUUCACAGAUACCAAAGUGGAAAAACAAUAAGAAACUUAAGAAUUGCAUUAGCAAUUAGUAUUCUGAGCAGCUUGAAACAAUAUGUAAAACAAUGAAACCAUACGUUCAUUACUCUGGACUUUUAGAAUCUUGAAAGAGGUUUGACAAGCUAUAUAUUUUUUUCACAACAUCAAAAACAACUCCAUUUCAGGCAUCUGAAAACAGAAUUAAUUUUGAAAGAGCUCCUUGGUGCCAAGAUGAGUCAUAUGCCUUAUGAAUGUUCUAGAUGUAAGGAGUUGGGCUGUCAUAGCCUUCUAUUUUGUAAUCUUGCCGCAUUAUUUGCUUGAUUGGAGGAUCAGCUGCUUGGACAGCUGUAGAGAUUCUUCCAGCUUGUAAUAGUGCAAUGUUGCAGAAUCAUGUGAUCCAAGAGUGACACGGCAGCAUCCACUGUGACAUUGCAAAGGAUCCUGGGAAGGCCUUUCUGGAUCAUGUCAAGCUUUAUUCACCUCCAUAAAAUAUUGCCAUAGUUUUUAAAGAGUGUUGGAAAUCAUUUGAAAAAAAUAAUCGCUUCCCGAUUAGGUAUGCAUACCCAUUUCUUUUGUCCUGUUGCCAUUUAUGGUCAAAUAUCAAAAGCUACGAAAACCUUUCAAGUAAUACAAAACCUCUGUGUUUUGUCGGGGGUAGGGUGGCAGAAACAAGGGCAGCUCUACAAACCUGAUUUCCAUGUGUGCUUCUCAAUGCAGGAUAUUGCUGCAUGCAGAAAAACAAUGCAUCCUUCAUGGCUGUGAACAGGUGCAUUGCUCCACUGCUUAACAUGUAGUAUAUAUGACGUGCAUGUAUAGGCACAAUUUAGGUAAACAGCCUCCUCUGAACUCAGUAGAACAUGCCUUCCAGUUGGAAACAGUUAUUUGGCUGUGAUCAGUGUGCCUGCCUCCUGCAGCUUUGGAAUAUGAAACUGCUCUUGUGCAGGAGUGUUUGAUGUGUGAGCAAGUCCGAGUUGAAGCCGGUGUCUUUAAAACAGUAUUUGCAAGGUGUUUUGAACUGUACAAGUGAAAGGCAGUGUACAAAAUGAGGAACAUUUCUUUUACUUUUCAUAUUUGAGAGUUCAUGUACUGAGAAAUCCAUGUUCAGCCAUACAAAACUUCUGAGUAUCCAUUCCAACGUGGUUGUCUUCCAUAAAUGAUGUGUUAAUGAGGAUAGAGUAGAGGUCAUGAGCCUGCAAGUAUGUGUGAAGCUAUGAUGAGCUUAACCUACCAGGUGAAAGAAAGGUUAGUAUACCAACUGCAUGCACACUUCAAAGCAUGUGGCUAGUUCACUGUACUAACCUAAUUAUCUGUGCUAUAGAUACUUUUGACAAACAUAUCUAUAGCCCAGAUACAUUUACUUCACAGUGGGAGAUAUCGGAGCCCUUCUGUGUUCAGUUGCCAGUUUCCUGAAUCCAGUAUUUUGCUUUUCUUUCUCAGGCUUUCUCUCUUAGCUUUUCAAGGACGACUCCUCCUAAAUUCAUUUAAUGUAUCAUGUUUGUUUUCUUGAUAAAUGUUUAAGAUACAGCAAUUCUUGAACCACCACAUCAUUGCGCUACAGACUGUGUAACUAAAUGGGUAGAUUCUUAUUUGAUACUUUCGUUAUCCUGUGUUUCUUUGGGAUAUUUAGGUCAGCCUCUUGAUGAUGCCCUGCAUGUAGCAAUUACAAAAAGGAAGAACUUGAAUUAAGAUAUGUGGGUUCCGGAGAUUUCCAAAAUUUGGAGCCUCUGCGUAGACAUCCUGUAUCUGCAGAAUGUCUGGAAUUGUUCUUAUACUGUAUACACAAACAAUCCUAGCCACCUCCAGAUAAAUGCCUACUUGUGCAAACACAGUUUAUGAAGGAGGUGGUUAGUUUUAUUUUCCCCAAGUUACUGAAGUAUGUUGUGUUUGUAAACAAUAAAGAUAAUACCUAGAUUCUCUUUAAGUACCUUAUGGAAGUGACUUUAAGCACUUUAUUCUUGCUUUUAUGUAAGAAUUCAGAGAUGUGUGUAUGGCUGAGAUAAAUAGGAGACUAUAUUAGUGAUAAGGAUGUGGGUGGCGCUGUGGUGUAAACCACUGAGCCUUGGGCUUGCUGAUCAGAAGGUCGGCGGUUCGAAUCCCUGCGACGGGGUGAGCUCCCGUUGUUUGGUCCCAGCUCCUGCCAACCUAGCUAUUUGAAAGCACAUCAAAGUGCAAGUAGAUAAAUAGAUACCGCUCCGGCGGGAAGGUAAACAGCGUUUCCGUGCACUGCUCUGGUUUCGCCAGAAGCGACUUAGUCAUGCUGGCCACAUGACCCGCAAAAAAUGUCUGUGGGCAAACGUCGGCUCCCUCAGCUAGUAAAGCAAGAUGAGUGCCGCAACCCCAGAGUUGUUCAUGACUGGACUUAACUGUCAGGGGUCCUUUACCUUUUAUAUUAGUGAUAGUUACUUUUAAAGUGCUUUGUGUAUGUGUUGCAGGUAAGGUAAGUUUCUUAUGACAGCGAUACCAGUUUUAAUUUAAGGCUUUAGUAGUCCCAAGCAUUCUUUCUUGGAAGCAGGUUCCAUUGAACUCAACAAUUUCAAAGAAAAUUUGGUUGGGUUUAGGGUAUCUAAAACUCAGUUGUCAGGUGUCAUCUUGGUUACACUAGUGUAAAUCAUUGCCAUGUUGUUGGUGUUACUCCAAACUUCCACGAAUUGAACCUAACAAUGUUAAAACUACUUUAAGUCUUCAGGAUUUGAUUUGAAGUUGUGGCCUAAAUAGUUGACUAUGAUAAGAAGCAUGUGAUAAAAAAAUCCCAGUUUUUCCAGCUCUUUCUAUAUUACUCUUUUUUCUUUCUUUUUUGGCAUCAGAAAAUAUUCCAAGAAGGCCUGAAGACUGUUUCCCUCCCUCUUUUUGUUGCUCUCUUUUUCAGAUAGAAUUCAAUAAAGGAAAGGCUGUGGUGUAAUAAUUCCUACAAGCUUUCACAGUAUCUUUUGGGGGAAAGGGUACUGACCUUUUCCUAUUGUUAAUAAAAAACCUUCACAGUCUUGUCUUUGCUUUUUCUGUAAUACUGCUUCCACUUUAUUCCACACACCCCUCAAAUGGUUGAGGAGUGCCUGUGUCUUUCAUAGACAUCAGAUUAGAAAAGUGGGUGAAAGUAAGUAAGUCUAGCUCCUGGGCUUGAUUAUUCUCUUAUCUGUAAGGGUGUACCUGAAGGAAGGACAAUAUCCUCCAUAAUGUAUUAGUUUGUGUAGGUAAUACUAGCUGGGUGAAGCAACACAAAUGCCUUGUGAUCUGUUAAUGUUGCCAUAAGGUGUGCAGAAAAGGUUAAUAACAUCAGUAAUUGAAUGGCAAAAAAGAAUUGAAGGGCAAAUUUGGUACUUUAGUUGCAUAUGCACACCUUCUCUUAGCUUCAGGUUAAUGAGAGACACAUGCAUGCUCCUCUGGGAAGCACUGGUUUGUUAGGAAACAUCACAAUCAGAAGGUGUAUUCAUAUACUCUGCCACCCAUCCCCAUUGAGCAUCACAGCUAGCCAUCACAGGUCUAAAUACACCCUUGUACGAAUGUGAUAUGUGUUGUAGCAACUAUGGUGAAUAUCACUAUUUAUUUAUUUAUUUAUUUAUUUAUUUAUUUAUUUGAUCCAGUUUAUAUACUGCUUGAUUGUAAAAGACAUCAAAGCCGUUCUAGAUAUCUGAAUGCUAACAAUCUCAGAUUACUUUUGCGAAUGUCUGAAAAGUCUUUUCUAUUCUUUUGGACAUGCACAGGUAGAGUAUGUACACCUUUUUAAUGUGUCUGUCUGCUUUCAUUGUUGUACAUCUUGUGUCUUUAGGCAUGGCCAUUUCCUGUAUAACACCCCUACUACCCAAGUAUGCUACAUAAUAUAUGUCCUUUUUCUGCUGAGGGGCUAAUCUGUAAAGGGAGUGCAUGUCAGCUGUGCAUGAGGCUGAAGCUAUUGCUGGGUGGAGCCAGAUUCCUCCUCUCUUUUCUGGCACACAAAUUUCUCUCUGCCUUUCCCCCCAAGCCCAGGUGGUUGCUGGGAAGAAAAAGACUUCCUAGCUAGAGGCCUAAAUUGAUGGCUUAUAGAGAGCUUUCAAAAUUGGGCCAAGAGCCAUGUGAACCUGUUUUGCUUAUGCUCCGCUCUGGUAUUAGUCAACAUGUGCCCUCCAGAUGGGACUAUAACUCCCAUCAUUUCUGACCACUGGCCCUGCUGAUAGCGGCUGAUGGGAGUUGUAGGCCAACAACAUCUGGAGGGCACCACAUUGACUACCCCUUUUGUACUCUACUGAUGAUGUAGCCGUAUAGUAUGGGAAAGUAACCAUGGUACAGGUUUGGAUUUAUGCCAGGGUAGGCAGAGUCCUAUACAACCUUAUUUAAUUUUUUUAAGUCUACAAUGUCAGGGCCACCAACUGGAGCCAGUCCCAGAAUGGAAGACCAAAUGGCCACAGAAAAUUGUGUACACGUGCUUACUAAUUUUCUCCCACAGAGCAAUAUCCACACUUCAUCAAGCUACUACAGCUCAACCUAACACAAUCCAUAUGGCAACUGUGUGUGUAAAGCUUAUAGCUAGAAUUAAAAGCAUGUGAAGAACAAUUGACUCGAGGAGGUCAGCCCAGCUGCAGAUAUAUAGCAUGUGACAUAUAUCACACAAGCACAUAUUCAGCAUAUAAGUAAAGAAGAGUAUAUGUAUGACUUUCUACAACAUAUAUACAUAGAUGGGGAAUGCUGAAGCAGAGAUUAGUCCCAAGAUCAAUCAGUAGCUCCAUUAUAGAGAACUCUAAAUAUAUGUAGAACAGAUAGCUUAAGAAAUUGGUUCCAACUGCAGCCUAUUUUACUAGUUACAGCUCUGCAUUAUAUGUGGUGAUGGAAUUAAGAUGUGUGCACAGGAGAUGAUGCCUUUGUCUACUGGUAUUGCAGAAAUGAAUUUUGUGUUUUAGAUGAUGAUUGUCGGGUUCAGGUUGGUUCAUAUGGGGAGAGGCAGUUCUUGAGGUAUUGUGGUCCUGAACCGUUUAACACUUUAUAGGUCAUAACCAGCACUUUGAAUUUGGCCUGGAAACUAAAUGGCAGGUGGUGCAGUUGGGUCAGAAUCAGUGCAAUAUGAUCAAAUCUUCUUACCCCGGGAGCAACCUGGUUGCUGAAUUCUGCACCAGCUGAUGUUUUCGAACCAUCUUCAGAGGUAGCCCUACAUUGUGUACAUUGCACAUUUUAUACCCCUUAAUUUAAAAACAACAACAACCCCCCAAAUUUAAAAACACACAAGUUAAAAAGCAGAUAAAACCAAUUUAAAACAAUUUGGGCAAUAAUAACUGCCACAGAACAACACCCCCCCCAAGAAAACCUCUGCACAAUCCCCCAACCCAAGAGUCUUUUCAGCCGCCUUAGCUGGAGUCAGUCUGUGCAACGCCUUCCCAGGCCAGAUGGAAAAGGCCUGCAAGGCAGGGAGCAGGUCUUUGUGACUCACAGCCAAGACAGGAUAAAGAAAAGCAAAACACAAAAAAUAAAAAGCAAUGGUUCCAUAUCAUGUUUGCAUUUUUAAUCUUCUUCAUUUGCAUGUUGUACAAUGCACACACACCCAUGACUAUUUGUGCUUCUUUGUCUUUUGGGUACUGUAUUUGCUGCAAGGGUGGGGGGGAGUAAUAAUUAUGACUCGACCUUGUUCUAACUGCGUUACCUCGCUUGUGGUCCAAGACUGGGUGGGGGUGGGAGUAAGCACCAGAAUGCCACCUGUUUAUUUUUGCCUAUAAACCUCUUUUGGCGGUGCCAACUGUUCUCAUGAGGGGCUUGCUGCACAGAGCAAUGUGUUCCAAAAUCUGUUGAAGGGGAGCAUUAGUAGAACAAAUGACUCCUUUGUUAAUUUUUUAAAAAGCAACUGGAUGUUGUUUUGGUGACUGCUAGAACAUUAUCCUUUUCUUUUAGAAUUAUUUGAGUAUAUUUACUAAGACCUAAUGCAUUUCUUAAUUCGAAUACUAUUCUAAAUUAUUGCUUGUGCUACCAAUUCCCUGAAGGAAAUAUUCCAGUCAGGUGACUUAAAAGUAUUGCUUAAUACUGACCUUGAUAGGAGGCAGGGAUGGAAUUCUGGCUAAAAGAUUAGGUAGCCUACACAGAUGACAGAAAGUCAUGGUACUUGUGAGCCAUCACUCACUGUUAACUGCAGUGGCCAAACAUCCAUGAAUGUGUGUGUGGACACCAGUAACACUAGAUAGCUGGACCCAGCCUUUAAGAUAACUAGGUGUGCUGGGUCUGCCCUGAAUUCUACCCCUUGAGACUCUAUAUAUUGAAUUUAGGCUGCAGUUGUGUACCCAAUUAAACAAAUCAACAAACCCCAUUGAACACAAUGGCAUUUCCUGCUGAGAAGACCAUGUAUAGGAUCGAGUUCUUAUAUCCUGCUCUUCUUCAAAGAGACAGAGUGGCUUACAUAUAUAUUUCACAGGUGUGUGCUCGUUCAGGCUGUGUACAAGGCCAGACCAGCUUACUUUGCCUUUAGGAAUAAAAUAGCAUUUUUGUCUUUAGACCAUUCUGCUGGCUAAGGCUGGCUAAGGCCUGACCAGAGUUUCCAGAAAUUACAUAAACAGCUUAUAGCUGCUGAGAUAUAAUAGAUUUAUUAUAUCUCCAUUUAUACUCCACCCUCCAAACAAGUAAUCAGGAAGGUUAAAAUAAAACAUUAACCCACAAUAGAGCUGCAGACAUUGCAUGCAUUUCUCUUCUGCUCUCUUUCUACCCAGGAACACUGUAUUAUCUUGUGUGUCUCCCAGAUUCAGACUCUUACAGUAUAGGCACUCAUGCUUUCCCUUGCACACAAGAAUACCUAUCACAAGUAGGUUGCUCCAUUAGUUUCAAUGAAGAGAGAGAACACAGUAAAGAAGUUGGCUUUUGCUCUUGAAAUGAAUGAAGAGGAUUUAAUGUAUAGCAAAGCCCUGGAAUGAGGUAUGUCCCUUUCUUUGAGGUUAGUUGAGAUGGGGACAUGUGGGUCUCCAGAUGUUGUUGAGCUGCAAGUCUUAUCUCUGACUAUUGAGCAUGCUGGUUGGAAUGAAUGGAAAACAGAGUGCAAGAACAUGUGUGCGGGGGGGGGGGGAGCGGCUUCCCAGUCUUAUCUACAGAAAUUGACCACAUGUUAUUAAGGAUUUUAUUUCCCACUUGAAAAAUAUGUGAACUCUCUUGCUAGUUUUGCAACUUAAAAAAAUGUAAUGAAGCCAAUUGACCACAACCCUUUCCUUCUGUUUCAUGUGGGUACAAAUGAUCCCCCUUUGAUCUGAGGGGUCUGGAUAGGUCAGUUGGCUAGAGCAUGGUGCUGGUAAUGCCAAGGUUGCAGGUUCAAUCCCCAUAUGAGACAGCUGCAUAUUCCUGCAUUGCAGGGGGUUGGACUAGAUGAUCCUCAGGGUCUCUUCCAACUCCACAAUUCUAUGAUUCUAUAUAGCAAGGGAAUAUAAGACUCUGGGAAGGAAGCUGAAUGACCAUCAUCAAAUAUCUAAAGGGCUGUCACAUGGAAGAUGGAGCAAGCUUGUUUUCUCCUGCUCUGGAGGGCAGGACCCAAACCAGUGGUUUCAAGAAGAUUCUAGCUAAACAUCAGGAAAAACUUUAUGAUGGUAACAGCUGUUUGAAAGUGGAAUGUACUCCCUCAGAAGGUGGUGGACCUUCCUUCAUUGGAGGUUUUUUAGCAGAGGUUGGAUGGCCAUCUCUCAUGCAUGCUUUAGUUGAGAUUCCUGCAUCGUAGGGGACUAUAUGGACUAUAUGACCCUUGGGGUGCUUUCCAACUCUACAAUCCUAUGAUGCUAUGACUGUGGGACCCUCAGAAUAAAUUUUAAUAAAACUUUGCUAGUAAAUUUUAAGAGAAAACAAUGGAAGCUUGAAAUGUGCAUUAGAUCCCUGUCUAUCGUUUCUUCCUGAGAUCCAGUGCCUUUUAAAUUACUGCAGGAAGGAACUCUGGAGUCGAUGUAAUCAUUAACUGUCUCACCUUCUGGUUGUGACAAGUGAUGAAUCAGCUUGAACUUGCCUGGAGCUUUCUUCAGGACAAUACCCAUAGGGGAAACCCUCAUAUGCUCAAGCAGAGCGUUAUCAAAUGGCCCCAGUAUUCUUCCCCAAGUGCCAGAAGUUCUUUUCUAUCUUGUCUCUAACCACCUGAGGACAUAUAAGUGCUGAUCUCAGCUUCUUAGCCAACACUUGCAUCUUGGGGCCUAUGUACAAAACAGCAAAACCCUCAUCGAAAUUAUUACGCAGCAAUAGGUUCUCUCCUCUUUAUUCUCCCCCUCCCUUCCUCUUGUCAGACUGUUUCUACAGCAAAACAUUUUAUGUGCCCUCAUUGGAGUUUAUGCUUUUUGCAGGCCCCGUUAACCAAUCUUUGGCUUUUUCCACUGUCUUGCUUUGAUUUGGAUGACUGCUCAAAGCACCUGCUAAUGGCCUGGAGCAUUCAUGCCUAAAUUUGCAGUUUCUGUAGCACUUUCACUUGGCUGGUUAGUACACAGCUAGUGAAAUGCUGUAUGAAGCACCUGCUGCAUUAUUUGAGAGUAGCUUGUUUGCUUUCAAUUCAUUGAUGGAAGCAUCCUACAAAGUUGUUUUUUUUGUAGUUCCUUAGAGCUGCUCCACAAUUUUACAAGGAGAGAACAGUGUAGGGAGGGUGAAUUGUUAUGAGUGACAUUCUUUACACACCCUCAGAUAUUAUUUGAAAAUGAAGCCUAUGCUUCCAGUGCAAGAAUGGCUCAUACAUCUCCCCACAGUGUUUCCGCUUUUGCAUAAAUAUCUGGAACUGUAGGUGUUUCAAUCACUUGAACAUCUUCAUUUACUGCUUCUAACUACAAGAACCUAUACUGAUGCAUUUGGAUUGUUUAUUUAAGAUGUUUAGGCUGAUUUUUUAGGGCCAAACUUUAUAAGGUGGCUUCCAACAUACAGAAUGCCUAGAAUACAAUCAGCACUCAAAUUUAACCAUAAAAACCCAUAAUACAACAAAUGAACUAAAAUAAUAUAUCUAUUAAAAACAGUAUUGAUAAACAAUUGUGUUAUUUUGCUGGGUUGUAAUUAUCGAUUAAAAUAGUUCAAAAAUGUUUUGGUACCAAAUCAAACCAGCAGCAUGAUACCUUUUAAAAAAUACAGUUCUAAAUAAAUGGGUUUUUAAGGCCUACCUAAAAGCCUGUAAUGAUGGGUGCAUAUAGACUUCAUUCUACAUUUCUGUCCCCAAUUUGUACUGAGUUGCUCAUUAUUUAGUUUUUUAAUUACAUUGUUUGAUGAGUUCCCAACUACUUACAUAAAUUUUGCUGUUUACUUUUGGGAUUAAUCUUGCUACUAUUGGUGUUCCUUGUUUCUAUACUUAUUAAAACAAAGGUCUCAGAAUGCAUAAUUAAUAGUGGAUUAAAGUACCCCUUAACUAGUGAGAAACAAGCAAAGUGAACAGUAUGCAUAGCCCGUAUACAGUUGUCUGUCUUCUUUCAUUUCACAGUUAGCAUUUUUGUGGCUUGUCUUUUCCCAGAAAUACUAGUCUCUGAAGUAGUGUUAAGCAUAAGCUUACUGCUAGAUUAUUUAUGCCUAUAAUGCCUGCCAAGGCCAUUACGAGAGGGAUCAUACUCUUUUUGACCAAGCUGUAUUCUCCAUUGCUCUUAUGUCAUACUGUGCUGCCUACCACAUGAAUAAAAUUCCAUUAGGAGAACAAAGGAAAUCAUUCAUUAGCAAUGUAAUAUUUAGUCUAAGAUGGCUGCUGCAUAUUUGUUCAUUCAUAAUAAACUUGUCUGCUUUUGCAUAAUAUGAAAUUUUUUCUUUCAGCAUAAUUUUUUCUAGUUUCCCCCCGAUUUCCUAGUUCUGGUACAGAUGUUUUCUGCUUUGGCCCACUGUUUCUUCUGCCUGAACUCGUGCAUGUGCAUGAAGCAGCCAUUCAGUGACAUACAGAGACAUUCAUGCUCCCCUGCCUCAAUCUUACUAAUGUUGCAUCUCCUUCUGCCUCCUUAUGAUUGUUAGUUGGACAGCUAAUGAAGCUGGAUGGUGGGAGAUUUAUACUGUAAUCAACAAAAGGAAAUACCUUUACCCACGUAGGAUAGAUUAAAUUAUGAAAUUUGCUGUCACAGAAUAUGGUAAUAUCUUGCCACCAGCUUAAAUAGUGUUAAAGGAGGAUUAGACAAAUUCACGGAAUAGAAGCCUCUCAGUGGCUAUAUGUUUUCCUCUUAAGUUCAGAGCCACCAGGCCUCUGAAUACCAGUUGCUGGGUAACAAUAGCAGGAUUGACGUAUUACAUUCAUACCACCUUGCAGGCUUUCUGGGGGCAUUUCUGUGGGAAAUAGGAUGAUACUUAUGAUCCAACAGAGAUAGUCUUACAUUUUGGACAGGUUCUCAGCAUUUUAUAUUUUUCCACUAAUGGGAGACCUUCAGAAAUAAUGGCCUCUGACUAUCAGCCAAAUACACCUUUAUGCAUGAAACAAAUGGAAAGUUUGAGACAUUGUUACUGUAUGCUGCUGUGCCAUAAAAAUUUUAAAAGACUCUAUCUACCUGUUGACAAAUGGAAGGGUAAAGUUUGUUUCCUUUGCUAUCUGUUUUGGAGAAUUCCAUAUUGAAAAAAACAUGGCAUAAGUUUCAAAGAAACUAUAAAAUAUUUUGGGCUGUUAUCUAGUGUUAGUCAUACAUAGAGUAGAAUUAUUGAAUUUAAUACAGUAGACAUGGUUAACUUGGGUUUACUCUGAGAAGAACUUGCAUACAAUCCAUUGUCCCAGGGUAAUCAAAAGUUUUUUCACAUUUAGGGAUACACAGCCCUUCUCUAGUGAACUGCUUCAUAUUCAAUGAAUACAACAGUUAUCACAUAUAUGCAUUUUGCAUGCUUUGGAAACAAAGAUUGGAUGCAGCUUCAUAGUCCACUGUACAUAUGGAAGCAAAAUACAUGAUUAUGUGAUCACAUAUAACAGUUUACACAUGGCUGCAUGCUACAACUUAAAGAGAAGUUAUUUCUGUGAAGGAAUUCUGCACAUUUGAAACCUGUCCGAUUUACUUUAAUUUAGAAUGCAUUCCUAUUAUCUUUACAAUUUGUUGUUUGAAAUAAAGUGGGGCUGGAAUUGAUUUUAAAAGGGGAAGCUACCAAAGUAUCUGUCAAACAAAACAAUUUGCAGUAUAUAUUUUAGCCUGCUGGAUCUUUGAAAUGUAACUGCAUCGGCCUACUUGGCAAAAAUGUUGUUUGAAGACAUAUUGCGUUCCACGAGCAAAUGGAAAAAAUGGGCACCUGUCAUCAUAUUUAGAAAACAGCUGGGCAACCUGGCCAAGUGCCACAGUCUCUUUUCACAUGGCCUUUAUGCUGAAAUCAUCCCAGCUCCAUUCCUAGCACUGAAGAAACUCAAUGCCUUUAAAUGGUUACAGAAAUUCAGGAGACACCUCUCGUUGCAAUAAAGUUUACUUCAGAUACUCCUAAUUAGUAAAUUGUACCACACUUUUGUAGACCAACUGCUGUUCUUAUGUAGUGAGGUGGAAGAUUGCUGUCACCCAGCCUCUCAUUUCUAGAGUGUAAAUUCCCCUUGCCCUUUCCCUGCCAGCCAUUGCUGCUGCUAAGCAUUGCAUUUGUUGGCACCAAUGGUAAUAAAGGUGCCUUUAGAUGAGUGGUGGGGAAACCUGUUCUUUCAGGAAUCAUCUUUCAGCAGUCACAUGCUGGAAGUGGGUAGGGUCAGAGCCAAAAGUGGGCAGGACACCCAAUUUCUCUUUUUGUCACCCCCUUUUCUCUCUUUGCCACUUGCAUGAAACUGGACCGACAGUCGCAUGUGAGCUGCAAGUUGUUAGCCUUUGCUUUAGAAACUCAUCCAUCUGUAUGACUACUUACCACACAGCAGAUAGUUAAACUGCAGAACUCACUCCCAAAAGACGCAGUGAUGGCCACCAACUUGGGUUACUUUAAAAGAGGAUUAGACAAAUUUGUGGAAGUUAAGGGUAUCAUUGGCUACUAACCCUGAUGGCUGGGUCCUGGUUCCACUACUGGAGGCAGUAUGCUUCUGAAUAACAGUUUCUGGAAACUGCAGGAGUGUUGUUGCAAUCAGGCCCUACUUAUGGGCUUCCCACGGGCAUCUGGUUGGCCAGUGUGAGAGCAGGAUGCUGGAGUAGGUGGGCCACUGGCCUAGUGCAACAGGCCUAAUGUGUGGCCAGCUCUUGCUUGCUUGAGAUAACUUUAAGUGGCCCACAUUUAUGUGGGUCUUUACCAGAGAAUCUGCAUCCUGCAUAGCACCACCUCCGUGGAGCAGGGGGGCGGGAACCCAUGCAGCUGGGACUUCCCAUAUGGCUGAAACACUUAGAUGGUCUCCUAGUUGCAUGGGAAUUCCUUGUGGAAAAGUGGCUUCUACCUGGCUGGGGAAACAUUUAAAGGCACCCCAAUUCCCGCUUAACCAGAGUAUGUCGCUGAUUAGCAAGCAUGAUUAAGAGAUGCCUUAUUGGUGAGACUGCACUGUAGAAGUGAGGUGCAAUGGAGAACGUUUAACAUGUACAAAAUCUACAUAUUUUGUUUAUAAACAUUUAAUUACUUUGAAUUAAAAUUCAAUUUAGGAUCCUUUCAUAGCUGAGCAUUUUAAGCAUUUUUUAAAAAGCUAUUUUCAUUCCAAGUAAAAGGCUCUAUUGAACUUGGUUGCUGAUAUCCUAAUUUCCUAAAUACAGGUCAAAAUAGGUAAGCUGGUGGAGAUUAGCAAUUGUCAUGCUUAUUUGGAACAAAUGGGAUUACUAAAAAAGGAAUAUAUUUUGUAUCGUGUCUUAUGCUUACUGUACUUUUUAACUGAAUAAAAAGAUAAUCUGUUUAGAAGUUUAGUAUCUUCAAAGUCUUGCUUUCCCCAGGUCUCUUUCUAAUACAAUUAGCACCAUGCAUAGUCAUUGCUUCUGAGGGCAAGAUGGACUGAGCUCAGGAGAGCUGAACCGUAUCCUGAAAUGACACAAACAAAUCUCUUCCCUUUGUUGUAUUCUCAUUGAAGUGCAAGGGAUGAGUAGAUGGAGUUUGUGUUAUAACUGCCAACUUUAGUAUUUGUUUCCUGAGUUGGGUUUUAGGAGAUUCUUGAGGACUUUAAAAUUUUAUUCUGGUUGCUACUUAAAUGAACUUAGGUCUGUUUUGAGCUGCUGCUCAAACACUUUAUAAUAUUUUUGUUGGUAAUUUUUGGUGUUUUAAUGUGUUGUGAACCACUUUGGGAGGGGUAGUCCUGAAAGGUGGCAAAAUAAACAAGAGGACAGCCCCCUUCUGCAUAAGAAAUACUCAGGGGGGGCAUUAAAAAUUUAUGCCAGCUGCAUUAGGAUGCUGCUUGCUCCUGUUUUAAUAUAUUAAUGUUUUCUAUUAUUUGUCAGGAUAUUGUUGUUGUUUAUGGUUUUGACUUUAAGUAAACUAUUGUUUUUCUUUAAUGAAAUAUCAAUAAAAUGAAUAUUUAGCAACUGAACUAAGCAUAUAUGAAUAUAUUAAACUGCCUUGUGCCAAGUAAUAUGAUGGAUCCACCCAACUAAAGUAAUAAAUACAAUUUUAAUAUAUUUAUUAAAGCAUUCUCUUCUAUCAUGGAUAUCUAAAACAGCAAGGGAAUAAACAGUCAUGUUUUGUUGCUGGUAGUAGUUUUUUUGUUCUUCGAUUAAAAAAAAUAUUUCUAGAAAGUCCAAAGCAUUAUGAUAUCAGAGUUUAAAUUCUGAAGGCAGGUAGCUCACAUCUCAGAAUUACUACUAGGUUAAUCAUCGUUGGCUUCUCUCAUGUAGUUAAACCUUUUGGAAGGUUCCGUUUCUCUUUCUCACUCUCUCUUUACAGUUAACUGACUGACCUUCUAAUUUUAGCAUUGAAGAAUUAUAAUUAGAAAUAUUUCCAUAGUUGUUUACAAACACCGCCACUCAGUCACAGUAUGUGUCUGCAAUUUUAGAAGGACUCUGUUAUCACCUCUAGAGUGGGGUGAGAGGGCAUUUCAGUUCUUUUCAGCUUAUUCAGUUGAUGGACACAAUGAAUGUAUUGGGGUGGGGGAAGGAGAACUACUCCCAAACCCUUUUAAGAUAACCUGCAUAUGCUGUGACCAUUUUACAUGUCUAAUUUCAAACAAACAAACAAACCAUAUCUUCUUUGGCGAUCACUCGUAGCUGAGUAAGAUUGUCUUCCAUGAACAUGGUCUGAACAGUGAGUCUGUAAGUGACUAUAGAGGCCAAUUCUGGAUCCACAUAUCCUUCCACAGUGUGGACAUAGGUUUCCAGGUUCCUUUCAUCCUGAGUUUGAGCAUCUUCAAAGUCCAUGAUACCUUGGGUAAAGGCUGUUCUCCAAUUGGAGUGUUUGCAGGCCAGUGUUUCCCAAUUGCUGGUGUUUAUACUACAUUUUUAAAGAUUUGCCUUAGGAGAGUCUUUAAAUAUCUUUUGUUGACCACCAGCAUUACACUUUCCAUUUUUAAGUACAGAAUAGAGUAGUUGCUUUGGAAGACGAUAAUCGGGCAUCUGAACAACAUGACCAGUCCAACAAAGUUGAUGUUGAAGAAUCAUUGCUUCGACACUGGUGAUCUAUGAUUCUUCCAGUACACUGGCAUUAGUUCGCCUGGGUUCCCAAGUGAUGUGUAGAAUUUUUCGGAGACAAUGUUAAUGGAAUUUUUCAAGGAGUUGGAGUGGUGUUUAUAAGUGGUCCAUGUUUCACAAGCAUACAGUAAGGUUGGUAGUACAAUAGCAUUUUGGUUUCCCUGUGAAUGUCCCAGUCCUCAAACACUCUGCACUUCAAUUGGGAGAAAGCUGCACUUGCAGAGCUCAGGUGAUGCCUCCCAUGUUGCUUUUGCUGAGUUAGUAGCACCAAAGUGAUCUCUGGGGCACAAGCCUGGGCAGUGUGUUUGGAGGUCCUGAGCUCCCCAGAUGAAAACAUCCCCCUUCUCAGCUUCACUAAUGUAGUCCAAAGGAAAGGAAAGCAAUACAUUUGGUACCAGCUUGGCUGUAGGAGUUGCCAGAAGGAGGUGUACAAGAAACCAGCCACCUCAGGGACUCCACUCUAGAUUUGUGUAGGGUUUAUUCCUUAGCCUUUCUUCUCUUGCAGAUGCCCUUCGAGGCAGUAGAUACAAAUUUUUCCUUGGGAUUUAUUCACAAAGCCUUUAGAAUCAGACUUUUCCUUCUGCUAGAGAGCCAGUGUGGUGUAGUGGUUAAGAGCGGUGGUCUCGUAAUCUGGGGAACCGGGUUCGCGUCUCCGCUCCUCCACAUGCAGCUGCUGGGUGACCUUGGGCCAGUCACACUUCUUUGAAGUCUCUCAUCCCCACUCACCUCACAGAGUGUUUGUUGUGGGGGAGGAAGGGAAAGGAGAUUGUUAGCCGCUUUGAGACUCCUUAAAGGGAGUGAAAGGCGGGAUAUCAAAUCCAAACUCUUCUUCUUCUGCUAGAUGGGCUACCUUCCCAGCUGGAUGAGCCCCAUCUGCCCCUCACUUCCCCUCUACAGCACGUGCAGUAACUGCCUUCUUGACCAUUAGACCCAUUAUUGGUCUUGCCUGCUCAAUCCAUCAAUCCUGUCUUCACAUGCAGGGGAUGUCCCUAAGUCACUGAGGGUUUGAGACUCAUCAGGUACCUUCACCUGGUUUAGCCAGCCAGUUGAAGCUGUUUCCUAGGGUGUGCCAGCUGUUGCAUGCUGACAGCUUCUAGGAGCCACAGGUGAGAGCUGAGUGUAGGAUGAGGACGAAAGGUGGACAUACUACCCCAGAAGGAGCAUGACUUGUUCCUCACCAGAGCUGCUACCCCUCUCCCAACACCCUAGAGGAGAGGGAGGACUUUAGAAUACAGUAGAAGUUUUUUUUCCAGAAGCCUUUUUCCGGAAGCAAAAUUUUACUUUGGACACUAUGGGUUUUGUGCUAGAUUUCAGUGGCAUUACUUUGGAGGGAAUGGUGUAGUAAUAGAUCAAAUGACUCAGAUUUGGUUUCUGGGAUCUCAGUUAAAAUGGGAUCCAAAGAAGAGGAAUUGUAAAUCAGCCAGGGUUGCAAUAAGCAAUAUUUUCCCCUUUCUUUCUUCAGUUUCUGAACUUUUUCCAUCUGGGAAGGCCUUGCUUAGAUAAGGGCAAACAUAUAUAUUUGUGGAGCUAUUUUUUAUGGGUUUGCAAGCCUUGGUAUCAUGUAGGAGGACCUACAAAUUAUCUUAACAAAGAUUUUCAGAAGACAUAGCUAAGGUGCGAAGAUAUUAAUUAAAAUUAAUGGGCAUGUCUUUAGACGUACCUGAUUGCUUUGUGCUUACUUCGGCAUUUGUAAUAUCAUUUGAAAUAUAUUUUACGCAAUCCCAAAUAGUUAUUGGAAUGCUUGAGACAAAGUACAUGCUAUAAAUGUUUCUUCAUAUGCUUGAGUCCAGAAAGGCAAUGUACAGAGCUACAGGUGAGAGUGGUGAGAGCAAAGAGUGGUUAUUAAGUGUCUUCUUAAGCUGACCUUUUGUUUAUAGAUGUACACCCCAUUCACCAUGAAUGCCAAGUCAAACAUGAAUAUUGGUAAAGUAGCAAGCUCGUUUGUCAGAUAUACAGAAAACUAUUCUUACUUCUUUUGAGCAGUUUGGCUUUUUUUCAACAGAUGGGAUGUUUUUACAGUAGAGCUAAAGUGAAAAGUAAACACCACUAUAUGCUGCAAGUAGCAAUAGCUGAAAAAAGAAUGUCCAUUAUUAGCUACUUAAAGCGUUAUGGGCACCUGAAACAGACAUUUAUUUUUCCUCUUAAAAUUGUGCACCUUCAUAAUUAAUACAGCAUAAAUGCAUUAAUUUCAAGAGAUGACAUGUCAGAAAGAGCAAGGGUAACCACUCAUUUUCUCUGUUAAAUUACAUGCUUGCGUAACCACAGUGGAUGAAUGAAGUACAAAAUCGGGUUGCCUUUAAGCAGUAUCACCUCAUUGACCUCUGAUAAACCAGAUAGUUAGAACACAGAUUUUCCAUUUUGUGCAGAAAGUCAGUCAAAGCUUGUCCAUUAUUUUAAGUCUCCUUCAAGACUAUAACCUGGGGGGGGGGGGAUUUCUUUAGGGCAUGUGUGGAUUAUUUUCACCUUACAGGGCUGAAAAACGUUUGAGAAUUUGAUCAUGAGCUAAAUGCCAUGUUUAAUGAACAGGAAAACCACCUUCAAGAAAAUGCAUCAUAGAUCAAAUUGGCCUAAAUUUGUACAAUAGCCACUUUUGUUAUUAAAUGUGCCAGCACCUUGUUUCUAAUUUUGUCAGUUCAUAUAUUUUUACCAAAGCCAAAUGUUGUACUUGGACACAGAGAACCAUUGAGAAAAUUAAACUGACACAAAGCCCAGUCAUAGUUUUAAACUUGCAUAAUGCAUUUUGCAAUAUUCAGUAUUAGAAAUUUCACUUUAUGACAAGUGGCAGUACCUGUUAUGUUGGUAAACUGGUUACUCUAGAGCUGGCUGCUGUCUUUUCCUUUCACCUGAGCCACCUGAUGUGAUUCAGCAAAGAGUGAUUGCUUGACAUGGUCUCAGUUUUUCUCCCCUGGUAAGUUAUUUGAAUCUAUCUUUCUGAACAUUAAUUUUCCAAGCAGUGAAUUGAAAUAAGGACAUUUUUCAUGGAACAGUUUUAAAAGGGAACUAAUAAUCAUUUUUUUCUUAUUAUUUUAUGCCCUGUGAUUUUUCACCACCCCCACCAGCUGGUUAAUCAUGCAAAAGCUGAACACUUCAUUAGCCGGAACAUGUUUGCCCAUGGGCAUUUCUUUAGUAAAUUAGUUCUUUCUAUUUAUGCAGGUAAGUCAUAGCCAAAAGUCUUUAAGGUACCAAAUGAAUUAAUUCCUUUCACUGAGUUAUCAAGAGAAUGCAACUUUAACUACGAGUACCAGUGGUUUGAUAUUACUUUUAAAUUAUGAAAGACGAAUCAUUUCCAGGAAUGUGAGAAAUAAAAUUGCCUUUUGGGAUGCCUACACUUGGGUAGUACUGUCACAGGGUUUCUUUCCGCUAAGAAAACAUUGUAAAAGUGUGUUGUGUGUUUGUAUUUGUGUAUUCUGCUGGUCCUUGGUUAGCCCUUUGUUCCAUAACUAGCUGAGUUUUAACCAUUAAUUAAAACAUGUGGUUUAUAGAUGCUUAGCUCAUUUGAAUCUGAUGUUGUAGUUUGAAAAACAGAGUAGUCUUGGGAUGAACUUAGCUUUCAAGCAAAUGGCAAUGCAGAGCCUUCUAUAUACCACAGAGUUUCCUGCAAUCAAUGUUGUUGUGUAAAUACCUAGAACUGAAAUAGUAUGAAAAGUACUUCUAAUAUAACUCUGCAAAGCUUGCAAUGCAACGGUUGCUUGCAAAACAUUUUCCAGAAGGGCAGCUAUAUUAAUAUGUUGCAGCAAAACCAGCCAAGAGUCAUGCAGCCCCUUAAGCAUAACAUGCUUUCAUGGGUUAUUUAUUAUUUAUUUAUUUAUAACCCACACUUUCAUUUAAAAAAAUAUCAAGGUUGGUACACAGUGCUAUUUUUCUAGAAAAAGAGGUGUCGAAACUCACCAUGAACGCCUCCCUUGUUCUCUUAUAAUGACAAUGGCGCCCACCUGAGAGGUGCUGUAACUGAGUUCCAGCGAGUUCCGACUGAACAAAAGCCCUGGUGGUACACAACAGAUUAGAAUAACAUCAGCAAAACACAUACCCGAUAAUUAAAGACAUCAACACAUACUGAUUAGUUUAAAAGAUAAAAUUCAUAUUUCAAAAGCUUGUCAAAAAAUAUAGUUAAGAAGAAGAAGAAGAAGAAGAGUUUGGAUUUGAUAUCCCGCCUUUCACUCCCUUUAAGGAGUCUCAAAGCGGCUAACAUUCUCCUUUCCCUUCCUCCCCCACAACAAACACUCUGUGAGGUGAGUGGGGCUGAGAGACUUCAAAGAAGUGUGACUGGCCCAAGGUCACCCAGCAGUUGCAUGUGGAGGAGCGGAGACUCGAACCCGGUUCCCCAGAUUACGAGACUACCGCUCUUAACCACUACACCGCACUGGCCCACUUCCUCAUAUGUAUUAAGAGCCCACUUCCUCAUAUGUAUUAACUCAUAUCCACAGUUGGUGUGUGUCUCUCUCUCUGUGUAUGUAUAUCCAUCCAUGUACUGGCGAAACCAUUUUAGGCAUGUCCAAAUGUCACUUGAUUGCUGACGUAUGGGUCUUUUUGGACCUAAAAGAGCAAAGAACAGGGGUGGAAUGGGGAGCGCUUACUUUUUAUGCUGGACUAAGUUUUGAUUAUGCCACCAUCAACCUCUUCCCUAAAAGCAGACAUAUAUUGAGAAAUUUGGUUUGGUUGUGACAUGAAGCACAUGUGCAGACCUGUUUCAUUUAGAUCAGGACUAGUUGUGAGAAUGGACAACACAAUAGUUACACAUUUCCAGAAAUGCUUUUUAAGGUUUACCAAGAGGCUAGUACUCCUGACAUCACAAAAUACACAGUGGUUCAUAUGUAUGCAAUUUAAAUGAAUCCCAUGUGAAAAUAAUUCUCUGAGUUUGGGGGUCGAUUUACAAUUGAGGGCUACAUUAGAUGUUUCACAGUAGAUGCAUCAAUGUUCUCCUGAAUUUAAUUAAAAAAACACAACAACAGCUAUGAGAGGCUUGAAUGGAAUGUCACUGAACAUUCUUAACCCACUCUCCUCCUGCUUGAUCCAGCAAGCCACAUUUCUCCUCACAGAGGAAAAGAAAUAGAGUCCACACAUCUUUUUGGGGGUGGGGGCAGACAUUGUGGGCCACUGAGAUCCAGUGCCAAGGGCCUUCUGGCGGUUCCCUCAUUGCGAGAAGUGAGGUUACAGGGAACCAGACAAGAGGGCCUUCUCGGUAGUGGCGCCCUCCCUUCAGAUGUGAAGGAAAUAAGCAGCUAUCUUAUCUUUAAAAGACAUCUGAAGGCAGCCCUGUUUAGGGAAGUUUUUAAUAUUUAAUGCUGUAUUAUUUUUAACACGAUUGGGAGCCACCCAGAGUAGCUGGGGAAACUCAGCCAGAUGGGCGGGGUAUAAAUAAAUAAAUUAUUAUUAUUAUUAUUAUUAUUAUUAUUAUUAUUAUUAUUAUAUAACAAUGUUUGAUAAACAAACUGCAGGAUGGGAAGAGGAUUAAGUUACAUUCCUGCUACUUUUCUGCUCUUGUUGGUAUCCUUUGAGGCUGUUUCCCACUAAUAUCAUCCCGUCGAUUCCUUCAGAUCUGCUGGAGAGAUUCUUCUCCAUGGUCCACCUGUGGCUGAAGCACAGUUCAUUUUACCUUGGUAGAUUCGCUUUGUAAAAUGUCUGUCAGUUCAUUUCUGAGCUCAAUUUAAGAUGUUCCAUCUAGUGUUUAAAGUCCUAAAUUAUGCUUCCUUGCAUAUUUUCAUUACACACCUUUUCUUGUAUACUGAAGACCUCUUUAUAGUUUUAGGACCAAUCAUAUUAUUUUGAGUGUAAUUUGUUUGAAACUGUCUUUAAUGAUAUAUUUUGAAUUGUUUUGACCUUCUUUGGACUUUAUGUUGAGAGGUGCGCAAUAAUUUGUAGUAGUUGUGGUAGUUGUGAUAUAAGGUAAAGGUAAAGGUACCCCUGCCCGUACGGGCCAGUCGUGUCCGACUCUAGGGUUGCGUGCUCAUCUCGCUCUAGAGGCCGUGAGCCGGCGCCGUCCGAAGACACUUCCGGGUCACGUGGCCAGUGUGACAAAGCUGCAGCUGGCGAGCCAGCACCAGCGCAGCACACGGAAAUGCCGUUUACCUUCCCGCUAUAAAGUGGUACCUAUUUAUCUACUUGCACUUAAGAGUGCUUUCGAACUGCUAGGUGGGCAGGAGCUGGGACCGAACGACGGGAGCUCACCCCACCGCGGGGAUUCAAACCGCCGACCAUACGAUCGGCAAGUCCUAGGCACUGAGGUUUUACCCACAGCACCACCCGCGUCCCAUUAGUUGUGAUAUAAAUCUUUUAAAUAAAUAAAAUUAAACAAAUUCAGCCCUUUUUUUGCUAUGGAAUUUUUAAGGCGCGUGUGCGUGUGCACACACACACACACACAUAUUAAAUCAGCUACACAAUUGACAUGCUGGAUUGAAGAUCUUUAUGUGAUGAGGCCUUAUCUCAGUAGGUUAUAUUUGCUUUUAUCUGGACUUGCUGAUUUCCUUAAUUAAUUUGUUGUUAGUCAACCUGAGAGGUGCAGACACAUUAGAAUGGUGGGGAAUAAAUUUAUGAAUAAACAAUGAAAGACCAAAAAACACACCCACACGCAACACGAAGCAAAACCCGGUUUGUAACUUACAGCCAGCCAGUUGAAUAUUGCUGUGGAGAGCAGGAAUCGGGAACCUGAGCACUGUCAGAUAUUGUUGGACUCUAGUUCCCAUAAGCUCCAGUCAGCACGGCCAGCUGCCAGGAAUUAUGGGGGUUGUAGUCUAAGAACAGUUUCCCUAUCACUGGUGUCCUAUUGAAAAUAUAUUUUUGUAAGUAGUACUUUUAUGUUGAUAGAAUUUCUAUAUGAAGCCAUAGUGUCAAUCUUUUAACUCAGUAAGAUGUUAAUAAGUUUUUUAAAAUAAAAGAUAGGUAUUUAUUUGAGAAAUACAGUUGAGCUCAAGCUGAGCUUAGUAACAGACGAGUUAAGAAUGUAGGCCUCAGGUCUGUGGAUGGUAGCUGUUUAUGUGGCAUGAUAAUUAUUUGGCAGGUGGCACACUUACUUUUUAUAGAAAGAUAUUAUUUCUAGUUUAAUACUGUGGUUUCAAAUCUCCCCUUGAAGAGGUCUUGUUUGGAGUACCAGGGUCCACUGCAUUAGACUUAUGUGGCCUUAAAAGGGGAUUAGACAAAUUCACUGAGGAUCAGAGGCAGUAGGCCUCUGAAUUCCAUUUGCUGGGGAUCAUAUUGCACUCAUGGGCUUCCCAUAGGAUUCUGGUUAGCCACUGUGAGAACAGAAUGCUGGUCUUUGGUUUGAAAUAUCAAGGCCUUUCUUAUGUUACGGUAUUAGGGUUUUUUGUUUUUGUUUUAAAAAAACAACAAUAAGAACAAUUAAAGAAUUAAGUGUUCAGUUAGAGAUGAGUGAAUCCCACCCAUCUGAAUUCUGAAUAUGCUUGUUCUUUCCCCAUCUUUUCAGAGAACCAUCUCUGAAAUAAAUCUGAAUACUUAUUUUAAGCAGUUUUGAGUAGGGAAGGGGCGCACACAAAGGAAAGGGAUGUACCACUGACCUGCAUUAGCUACUAAAAGUCUUAACCAACAGGGAAAUUGCCAACACAAAGAUCCUUGGGAAUUUUGAUUGGCUGGGAAGCCCUGGCUUGCUAGAAUUUCCAGGGGUCUUUGUGCCGAGUUCAUUUUGGUAAGGCCUAAUUUGUGCCCCGUGAGUAGCUGCCCUUCAUAUGCGUAUACACCCAUCAUAACUACUACAAUUAUGAUUUGGAGAAAUUGAAUUGGGGUGGGGAAGUUUUUGAAGCCAAAUUCAGUGAGAAUUUUGGCUUGUCUCAUAAACAAAUUAAGUGUCUCCAAACCUGGUGAUGCUGUACAUUUCUCUCUAGUUUUCAUAAUGCUGAACACUGAAUUGCUUCCAUUUCUGAUGCUUGAUAAAAUUUAGCAACAUUGCUAAUGAAACAAAAGUUUUCAAAUUUCAAGAGUGAUGCAUAUAUCUGAUUUGUUUGUUGAUGCCUUGCACUGGUCUUCAGUUGUAUCUUCUGUCUGUAUCCUUAAAAUGGUUCUUUUGAAUGUUUGAAAUAAUUAUAACAAUAUAUAGAUGAGACUGGGAUACGUAAUCCUAUGCACAUGGGAGUAAUUUUCAUGGAAAUAUAUAUAAUCUGCUUCUCAAUAAAGAUCCAUAAAACUGGUUGUUAAUCUGCCUUGAGAUAAGUCUUGCUCAGUUUUUAUUUCUUAAAAAAAGGUCUAGUCAUUUAUCUGUUUGAUCUUACUAAGGCAGGUGAGGGAGGUCGUCCCCUUUUGACAGAGCAAUUUUAUUUAUUUUUUGUCCAGCCACAGGAAAACAUUUUUGCAUGAAAAUAUUUGUAUUAAGCAAGUCAUCCAUACUGCACCGUAGGCUGUUUGAGUAUAACAGUAUGUUACAGUCUGCAAAGUUAAUGCAGUUAAUAUUCAACUGAACUUUUGGGGGGUUGCUAAUCCCUCAGGCAGGCUUAGCAGAAAGGGCAAACAUAUUUAUAGCACUUUGAAUCAGACUGCAGCAACUGAACAACAGUAUGUGUUAUACCAUCAAAUGUACAAUUUCAGCAAAGCUGAAUGCAAAGUAAGCUUUUAAUAGUACCUAAAUUGCUGAGGUAUCCCCUCUCCAUCAGAAAGAGUUGCAGAUUCAUUUGACAAGUUAGUUAAAAUGGAUCUAUCCAAAAGGUCUUUAACUGCCUUCUUUGUUUCUGGUGAUAAAGCUUUUUCCUUCUUUACUUUUUCCUUCCUUUCUUUUUUCUUUUUGGUAAAUUGCAGGGUUCAUGGGCUUCUUAAUUAGGAGCUAACUAUAUGUUAAAUCUCUACUACUUUUAUUAGUCCCUAAUAGUAUUUCACUGGUUUUCGUAAUGAUUUUUAGCAGGGCUUAGAUGAAAAUGAACUUUUAAAAUUUGGUGGGUCUGUAGCUGAAAGAAAAACAUUGGGAAAUUAUGGUUACCAACAGUAGACCAUGAGGGGAUUUUUUUUGUGGUUGGUGGAGUUCAGUACAGGUCAAUGCUCUCCAUGCGUGGUCACAUGAGGUAGGUUUUCUUUAGUACCUCAGCAGAACACAAGAGGGUAUGAUGCCCAUUGAGGCAGAAAGGUAGAGAAGAGAACAUUUAUGGGAAUUAAUUUCAUCUCACAUUUAUGUUAGUAGCAAAGUAUCCCUUGAUUGGGGUGGAGGAGUAAAAUCCAUUUAAAGUCAUAAAACAUUAUCUCUGCUAACAAAAGCAAUUUUGUUUCCAUAAAUAUUUUUGCUUUUGUAUUUUCCUUCAACUACAAAGAUGUUGCAGUCCCUACCGUUCGGCAAAAUGAGACAGCUGCCUCAGGCAGCAGAUAAAGGGGAGCACAAUUGUGGAGAACAUACCGUAAUUGUGUGUGCAACGUGGCAUGUCCUUCACCCACUAAAAGACUGGCGCCCUCAGGGGUGGUGGAGAAUGCUUGGCCUAUUCUUGAGAAGGAUCCCUUAGAGACUCUCCCCUGCUUCUUUUAAUAUUUUCUUCACCGCUGACAGGGAUCUUUUUGGCAAGGUAGCUUGAAAGGAUGCUGACUUGUCACCAAUACUGAACUAAGAUGAUGAAUCAAAAGCAUUUAUUUAUUAUUAAAUUUGGGCCUGUCCAUAAAAAGCAAGUCUAGAGUGAGAGACUUGGGUGAUACUUGCUGUUUCCAGGAACUCUUUUCAUUGUGAAACUUUUGUGGGUGAGCUGAAAGUUUGUUUGGACCCUGAGUGAGGACCUGGAGGCUGAGAGGGAGAGUGUGUCAGAAAAGAAAUGAACUCAUAAUGAUUUAAAUAUUAGUAACUUUGUAUUAGUGUAACUGUAUUUUUGUAAUGUUUUGUUUAAGCUGUCUGUUGUUGCUUCAGUUUUCUGUACACCACUUAGAGAUAUUUUAAAUAUAUUAAGUGGUAUAGAAAUUAAAUAACCACCAGAGUUUAUAUCUUGCCUUUCCUGCCAAAGGAGCCCAGGGCAGCAAACACAUAAAAGUUAUAAUGAUUAAAACACCUAAAAACCAUUCCCAUAUAGAUGCAGAAUGAUAGUGAAGCUAGCCUAGAGACCAGCUGCUACUCACUCACUCACUUACUCACUCACUCCUUCAUAUAUAUAAGGAUGCAGCUCCCCGCAUUUCCCCUGCAACAAUCCUAUAGGAUAGGUUAGGUUGAGUCAUCUCAAGGUCAUCCAGUAAAUUUCAUGGCUGAAUUGAGAUUUGAAUCAGAAUCCCUCCUGCUCCUAAAAUGAUUGGUCUCUUCCCAUUGGCUCUUCAUAGAAGUAUGUCUAUUAUCAGCUAUGGGUGGCUACUAGUUAUGGCGACUAUGUAAUACCUCCAUUGUUGGAUGCAGUAUGCCUUUGCAUACCAGUUGUUGGAAAUCACAAAUUUGAAGAGUGAUGUUUCAUUCGUGUCCUGCUUGUGGGCUUCCUGUGAUUGGCCACUAUGAGAACAGGAUCUAACACUAGAUGGACCAUUCACUUGAUCCAGCAGGGCAUUUUAAAUGGUGACAUCAGAGGGAGAGGUGAGACAUUCAUUGCAGCAUUCUUUGUCAACAUAAAAAGGGCCAUCAACUAUUUUGGCUCUUCUAUUAAACAGAAAAUAGUGUGUUGGACUGUCUGCCUCCUUGAGUGCAUUGGAAAAAGGCAGUAUAUACAUGUGAUAAAUCAUAAUAGAGUGGAUAAGAUGUCAGCAUUUAAGAUAUACCUGGAUCCUAGUAAUGCAGCCCAUAGAACACACAACAUGCGUCUCAACCAACCACAUGCUUUUGUCAUCUGUUUGUGGUAGCCUACUAAGGGGUUAGAUGAACUUUGUGCUUUUGUUGCUUGGUGGGAUCACAAAAAACAUGCAUUGUCAAGAAUCUGGGAGCUACAAUAUGUGGAUCUUGGCUGUAUUUGGCAUGGUUGGUUGCAAGUUGUGUAAACCUGGAAUGAAACCUGCUGCUUGCAAACAGAUACAUUCUCCUAACAUUGUAAGGCUUAAUUUUUAUUAAGUGUCUUGUAAACCCCUGCUUUCUAACCUUGGCAAAUAGUUCAUCUACUGAUAUUUUUAAAUCAGUUGUAAUUAAUAUUAUUAUUUAAAAACUAUUUUCCAAAUAAGAACAUAUAUAUUCAUGACGGGUAUAUUAUGCUAACAAUGAUAGAAAAGAUCACAUCAGUAAAUUGUAAAAAUUACUUUGAACAAAACAUCUGGUUGAAUAUUACCUUAAAAUGUAAAGUUUCAAUACUGUUAUUUAUAAACAAACACCAUCUUUUGAUAAAUUUUUAACAGCAUGGCUCUCUUUACACCUUUUGUAAUAUGAACUCCUUCCACAGAUGGCAUCUUUGCUACAUUCCAAAGUAGUAACCAUAUUUCUAUACUGAGACAAUUACGGAUCACCAUCUGUGUCCAGUGGGGUUUGCUCCCAGGUAAAUGUAUGUAGGAUUGCACCCUGGUGUAUUCUUCUUCUUAAUAUGCCAUUGUUGUUUUCAGUAGGCACUCUUGGGUGCAUUGGGUACAAUAUACAGUAAUAUGCAAGCUGGAUGCAUAGUCUGCAUGCUGUUUUUUCAGAAAUAAGACAAUGGCACUUUCUCCCACAUAAGGGAGUUAUACGUUUGCAGCCUUAACCUUAUGUAAACCUCUUAGAGGUUUUAUAAUUAAACUGUAUACAAAUUCUACUAAAUAAGUAAUAAAUAAAUCUCUUUCUUUAUUAGGCCGGUGUUGGUUCUACCCACUAUGCUUUUAAGCUUUCAGUGUACUGUGGAAUAGAAUGGAAAAACAACAACUGCAGAUUUGGUUAGGGCUCUUGAUGUUAAUUUGGUUUGCUGUAUCCAUAUGCAUAAAAGCAUGUGAAUCUUUCCGGAAGUGAUUUGUUUAAAGUUUAAAGUUCUCAGGAAAGCUGUAGAUCGUUAAUUAAUACAGGACAGGAUAAAACAGGCAUCCAGCCUGCCUGUUUUUUUGUGGAAUGUUUUUGGCAGGGUUCAAACCAACAUGAAAAUUCGCCAUCAUCAUAAAAUUUAGGACAGCUGGGAUGCUUUGCAGUGAGGACUUUUGGCUCCACAGUUCAAAUAAUCACAAUAGCAGCUCAAUUUAGCCCUUGGCUGGGUAGGUUUGGCAGGGCACAAUGAAAAAUAAUUAUUUCAUGGCCUGCUUAUUUGUCCCUUAAAAAAAAACUUCCUGACCUAGUCAGGCUUAUGUAAAUACACUGCCACAUGUAGGGAUGCAGAACAUUGCAGCAUUCCCCCGUUUGGAAAACUUUUCUUUUAUCUUUAGACUAUUUUUAGUAGUAUCUGUUGGACAUACAAAUAUGGACCGACAGUAUCAGAAAUCGAACCCCCGGGAUCUUCUUGGCAUUGGCUUUUCUAUCUAUAAGCCAGCAUCUUCCUUUUUAAAGCAUGCUUGUUUAGUAUGCAUAGUAUUGUUACUAGGGCAGCACAGGGAGUGACAAUAUAAAUAAGUCCAUUUCUUUGCAGUUUUGUAUUUACUCUGUCUAGGGGGACAACAGGCUUUUAAAAACAUUUGUUGCAUUUUGUCUUCAUUUGUAUGGCUAGGGUAGCCAGAUACAAAGGAGAACAGGACUGCCAUGCUUGAUUAAUUGGACAGAAGAGGUUCGUGAUUUUUUUGGUGAGAUGUACUCUGUCAUGCAGGAUGACCAAACUCUUGAAAUUUUCUCUUCUGUCCCAAGAUUGAAGGUUACAUAUGCCUAGGUCUUCCAGUCCUACCUUGGCAUCUGACCACCUUACUCCUUACUCCUCCUGUUUGAUUAACUGUGGUGCUUUAACUUUCUAUGUCAUUGGCAUCUCUUGCCCUGCAAGCUGCUGCUUGCAGGGCAGCAGCUGAAGAAGGAGCAAAAAGGGUUUUCUUGUGUGUGUGUUUCUUUGUGGCUGAUUAGCUGCUCUCCCUGUGCAAAGGUCAGAGGGGCAGGGUUUCUGUUGAGGCAGGUGAUUAGCUGUGGGAGGAGCUUAUCAGAGCUUGCAGGGCAGCAGCUGAAGAAGGAGCAAAAAGGGUUUUCUAGCGGCGCGCGCAGUUUGAUCCAUCUUUUAGAUUUAGGGGAGCUAGUCUCAAACGUUUGUUGGGGGAGACCUAGGUUUUUUGGGAGGGGAGUUACUUGUCCUGUCUUCUCGCUUUUUAUGCUGGCUGUAGCCAUCCCCAACGACACGUUCUCACGAUGGAGGGGGAGGGAACAGCUGCAGUCGCCUGCGGUUCCUGCGCAAUGUUUGCCAUCUUGCCAAAGGUUGCAGGCAGCUUUACCUGCAGCAAUUGCAUGUUGAUUGCCCUCUUAGAAGACAAAGUCCAGCAACUGGAGGAACGUGUAGCUACGCUCCAAAGAAUUAGAGAGCUGGAGCUCUUCUUGGAAGCAACGGAGCACACCGUCUCCACCAAGGAGGAGACAGGGGACUCCCCUGAGAAGGAGGCUAGUUCACCAACACAGGAGCCAGAUAUAUGGAGAAACGUGACUCAAAGAAGUAGGAGGCCCAGGGUUCGCUCUGAUUGUUUAGAAAUACACAGUCGCUUUGAGGUCCUCUCCCUAGCAUGGAAGACGAAGAGCAGACUCCAUUUGAGGAUCUCUCCCUCAUUACAGUCGAUCAGGUAUAUGAAGACGAGCAGCAAAGUCAGUCCUCAGGGAAUGUGCAGGUGACCUUGGAACGGACAGCUCACGGAAGAACCCGACCAAACCUAAGAGGAGGCGUGUAGAGGUGAUAGGGGAUUCCCUACUGAGGGAACAGAAGCAGUGAUCUGUGGGCCUGACAAGAUGUCUCGGGAAGUGUGCUGUCUCCCUGGGGCUAAGAUCCAAGAUGUAACUGAACGACUGCAAGGAAUCAUAAAACCCACUGACAAAUACCCCUUCCUCUUGGUUCAUGUGGGAACCAAUGACACUGCAAGCAAUAGCCUCCAGAAGAUCAAAAGAGACUACGAGGCUCUGGGCAGGAAAUUGAAGCAAUUAAAUGCACAAAUUGUCAUCUCAUCUGUCCUCCCAGUUGAACGACGUGGCUCAGGGAGAGAGGGAAAAAUAGUGGAAGUGAACAGCUGGCUUCGCAAAUGGUGUAAACAGGAACGGUUUGGAUUCUUAGAUCACGGACUGCAGUUUCUUGAAGAUGGACUUCUGGCAAGCGAUGGGCUGCACCUCACAACGGUUGGGAGGAAUGUUUUUGCCAAAAAUCUCAGAAACCUCAUCAGGAGGGCUUUAAACUGACUAAUGUGGGGGAGGGAGACAGUGCUCCUGAAGGUAGGAGUCUAUCAAUUGAUGAAGAUGAUCAUCCAAAUGUCAUAGACCAAAUGGAGCAAACAGCACGCAGACCUAGUGCUGGGAGGAAAAAAUCCUUAAAUAAGAGACACGGGGGAAUGAUUAAUGGACUUAUGGAUUAAUGGAUUAAUGGUCUGUAUACUAAUGCGCAAAACAUGGGAAAUAAACAAGAUGAGCUUGAGCUCUUGGUACAGCAAACUAAAUAUGACAUAAUAGGCAUCACUGAAACCUGGUGGGAUAAGUCCCACGAUUGGAAUGUAAUAAUGGAGGGAUACAAUCUAUUUCAGAGAAACAGACCAGACAAGAAAGGAGGAGGAGUGGCGUUAUAUGUCAGGGAUGUGUAUACCUGUGAAGAGAUCCAAGAUUUAGAACCUCAAAGCCAAAGUGAGAGCAUUUGGGUCAAAAUUAAGGGAGAGAAGAAUAACAGUGACCUCAUUGUGGGAGUUUACUAUAGAUCCCCAAGCCAAACGGAGGACAUAGAUGAUGCCUUCCUGGAACAGAUGGCCAAGGGAGAUAGUAGUAAUGGGGGACUUCAAUUACCCAGAUAUUUGUUGGAUGUCAAACUCAGCCAAGAGCAUAAGGUCAAACAGAUUCCUCACUGGCCUUGCAGACAACUUCAUUUUCCAGAAAGUGGGAGAAGCAACAAGAGGAACAGCCAUUUUAGAUCUGGUCCUAACCAAUGUUGAUGACCUGGUUAGUGGGGUAGAAGUGGAAGGAUCAUUAGGCGCGAGUGAUCAUGCUCUUCUGAAGUUUACUAUACAGCGGAAAGGAGCAGCCAAGCAUACUAGGACUCAAUUUCUUGACUUUAAGAAACCUGACUUCAUAAAACUUAGGGAAGUGCUGGGUGAGAUCCCAUGGACAGUAAUACUAAAAGGAAAGGGAGUUCAUGAUGGCUGGGAGUUUGUUAAGAGGGAGAUAGUAAAAGCACAACGUCAGGCAAUACCAAUGAGACGGAAACAUGGAAGGUGCCUAAAGAAGCCAGGGUGGCUAUCUAAAGAACUUUUAACUGAGUUAAGAUUAAAAAGGAUGUGUACAAAAAUGGAAAAGGGAGGAAACCACCAAAGAGGAAUUCAAACAAAUAGCCAGCACGUGUAGACACAAAGUCAGAAAAGCUAAAGCAGAGAAUGAACUCAGGCUUGCUAGAGAGGUUAAAAGCAACAAAAACGGCUUUUAUGGGUAUGUUCGUAGCAAAAGGAAGAACAAAGAAACAGUGGGGUCACUCAGAGGAGAAGAUGGUGAAAUGCAAACAGGGGACACAGAAAGGGCUGAACUCCUCAAUGCCUUCUUUGCCUCAGUCUUCUCCGAUAAAGAAAACAAUGCCCGACCUGAAGAAUUUGGAGCAAAUGAUUCAGCAGAGGAAACACAGUCCAGAAUAACUAAGGAGAUAGUACAAGAAUACUUGGCUAGUUUAGAUGUAUUCAAGUCUCCAGGGCCAGAUGAACUGCAUCCAAGAGUAUUAAAAGAACUGGCAGAUGUGAUCUCAGAACCACUGGCUGUCAUCUUUGAAAAUUCCUGGAGAACAGGCGAAGUCCCGGCAGACUGGAGGAGGGCAAAUGUUGUCCCUAUUUUCAAAAAGGGGAAAAGAGAGGACCCAAAUAAUUACCGCCCAGUCAGUCUGACAUCAAUACCAGGGAAGAUUCUGGAGCAGAUCAGUAAGCAAACAGUCUGUGAGCACCUAGAAAGGAAUGCUGUGAUCACCAAUAGUCAGCAUGGAUUUCUGAAAAAUAAGUCAUGUCAGACUAACCUGAUCUUUUUUUUGACAGAAUUACAAGCCUGGUAGAUGAAGGGAACGCAGUGGAUGUAGCCUACCUUGAUUUCAGCAAGGCAUUUGACAAGGUGCCCCAUGAUAUUCUUGUAAAGAAGCUGGUAAAAUGUGGUCUUGACUAUGCUACCACUCAGUGGAUUUGUAACUGGCUGACUGACCAAACCCAAAGGGUGCUCAUCAAUGGUUCCUCUUCAUCCUGGAGAAGAGUGACUAGUGGGGUGCCACAGGGUUCUGUCUUGGGCCUGGUCUUAUUCAACAUCUUUAUCAACGACUUGGAUGAUGGACUCAAGGGCAUCCUGAUCAAAUUUGCAGAUGACACCAAACUGGGAGGGUGGCUAACACCCCAGAGGACAGGAUCACACUUCAAAACGACCUUGACAGAUUAGAGAACUGGGCCAAAACAAACAAGAUGAAUUUUAACAGGGAGAAAUGUAAAGUAUUGCACUUGGGCAAAAAAAAUGAGAGGCACAAAUACAAGAUGGGUGACACCUGGCUUGAGAGCAGUACAUGUGAAAAGGAUCUAGGAGUCUUGGUUGACCACAAACUUGACAUGAGCCAACAGUGUGACGCGGCAGCUGAAAAAGCCAAUGCAAUUCUGGGCUGCAUCAAUAGGAGUAUAGCAUCUAGAUCAAGGGAAGUAAUAGUGCCACUGUAUUCUGCUCUGGUCAGACCUCACCUGGAGUACUGUGUCCAGUUCUGGGCACCACAGUUCAAGAAGGACACUGACAAACUGGAACGUGUCCAGAGGAGGGCAACCAAAAUGGUCAAAGGCCUGGAAACGAUGCCUUAUGAGGAACGGCUAAGGGAGCUGGGCAUGUUUAGCCUGGAGAAGAGGAGGUUAAGGGGUGAUAUGAUAGCCAUGUUCAAAUAUAUAAAAGGAUGUCACAUAGAGGAGGGAGAAAGGUUGUUUUCUGCUGCUCCAGAGAAGCGGACACGGAGCAAUGGAUGCAAACUACAAGAAAGAAGAUUCCACCUAAACAUUAGGAAGAACUUCCUGACAGUAAGAGCUGUUCGACAGUGGAAUUUGCUGCCAAGGAGUGUGGUGGAGUCUCCUUCUUUGGAGGUCUUUAAGCAGAGGCUGACAACCAUAUGUCAGGAGUGCUCUGAUGGUGUUUCCUGCUUGGCAGGGGGUUGGUCUCGAUGGCCCUUGUGGUCUCUUCCAACUCUAUGAUUCUAUGAUUCUAUGAAUGAGAGUCUAAAGGCAUGUGUUGUGGGUCUGAAGCUGGUCGGUGCUUGAACAGGAUUGUUUUUUUUUCUGAGAGUUUCUUGAGAGCGAACUGUUUCGAACCUCUUGCAGGAAGAGAAGGAAGAAGGUAAGAUUAUAUAAAUAAAGUGAAUAAUGUGUAGUCUUCAACCACCUUAAAGAGGCAUCUUAAAAGUGCAGAAGAGUGAUACAAUAAAAGCAAUAUAUUUGUUUUAGGGUGAAAAUGGAGAGUAAAGAGGGAAAACAAAAUUACAAAACCUGCACCAAUUUCUAUUAUUUGCCUUUCUCUUUGAUUUUAAAUGCAUGUUAGCUAACAUUCUGCCUUCUACCGUAGAACAAGCACACACACAGGCAAAUAGUCACAAGACUACACGAUUUCCUAAAUCACCUUCUCCAGCCUAAUACUGGCUGGAGCUGAUGGGAAAACAUUUGGAGGACAGCACUUUGGGAAAGGUUGUCCUAAACAUACACUCAUGUAGGGGGAGGUGACCUCUCUGUUAUUCUCUUUUUCAUUUGGACUGCCCAACCAGAAAUCAAAUACUUCUUAUGAUCAUGACAAUCUUCCUUUCAGUGAAUGUUACUUUUUCUCAAAAUGUCAUUAAAAGGGGGAUAAAAUCAGCAGUCAUGUCAUGCAUCGGGAUGGAUUCCUAAAUGUAAAUGAGAAUCUUGCAGUAAUUUAUUUACAUUUGUUUUCAGCACAACAAAUGAGACAUCACGUAGCUCCAUAAUUUCCCAUGACCGAGUCACCGGCAUGCAAUGUGUAAUUUACUAUGAUUUAAGAUGCUUAUCGGCAGGUUCUUGAAGCAGUACCUGGUGACUUUUUUUAUAAUACUUUCUCGUGACGGCCUUCACUCACUUCAUCCUACAUAUAUCCCCAUCUGGUUUAUUUCUAAGCUGAAACAAAAUUAUAAUCUUUUGUUUUUACUUGCCUUUCUGAGUUGGAACUAAGACAACCUAAUAAGACAGGCUUUUCAUGAAAGUUCUGGAAUUUGCACAGAUGUUAAGGCCUUUCAUGUCACCUCCUUUAUCUGAAGUUCUGUUGGUAAAGAACGAAAGAGCCUUUUCCACCCAUCUUUCCCAUUCUUUCCCUCUUCUGUGUUUGCUGUUUUCAUUGCUUAUAUUUUGAAAUAUUAUAGUCUUUCAUGAUACUAUAGGCCACUUUUACUGGAUACUUAGGUUAGAAAAAUGAGUGUACGAAUUAAACUAAACAAACAUUUACCUGUCUUAACCACAGUGUUGUUUUUGAAGGCUGAACUGGUGGUGUAGUGUGAGGGCAUAUGCACCUAAGCAGGAGUUGAUGAACCUUUUCAUUCAUGAAUUAAGUUACCACUAGUGCUGAAGUGUUCAUGCCACUACCUCCUGUGGUGCCACAAAAUGUCUCAGUAAAUAUCCCUUCAGACAUACGCAAUGCACAAGAGAUUGAUUGCACUUCCUGCUUUAGCCUUUGCAUCCACAGCCCUACACUGAUACCACCCUUAAAUAUGCCUACAUUUUAUUGGAUGCCAGGAGUGGACACCCUCCCUUCCAUUCUGAACAGAGGAGAGAUGCAAAGGCCUAUCUGUGAGCAAGUACAGCAGUGGCUGAUGUAGGCGUCUUUUUUCCUUUGAUGUGGGACAGGUUGUGGGAAAUGCACAUGCCCACACCAUUUGUGUUCCUGUUACUUGGUCUGCUCUUUUAUAUGAGCCGUUUUUUAUUAUGCCAUGUGCCCCAUGACAGCCAUUCCAAGAAUAGGCCAUCCUCUUAGGCAGUGCUUUUUUUUUCUUAAAAAAGAAAAGAAAAGAAAGGUGCCUGUACUCACCAUGAAGUUGUUACAGUAAGUGCCACACUUUUUAACAACAACAAAAAGAGGUGCCGGUAGUGCGUACCCUUGAAUACCCCCUGAAAAAAGCACUGCUCUUAGGACUUAAUUAUUGCAUAAGAAGCUAUUUAUGACAGUGCAGUCCUAUGGCAUUUCCACUCCUUGUUCAGGAUGUAUUUUUCAGACCCCUGAAACACUUCCUGAAUAAUUCCAAAGUUGGUGAGUGGCCUCUCCUGGACUUAAAUUGAUGCAGGGCAUGCUACCCAGGUCAAAAUUGCUAAUGCCAACACCAUUGUAUUCUGUUUUCCCCUUCUGAUAGCGAGUUUCCCUUCCCAAUCUAGACUUUUAAGGUUUUCUUCCCUAUAGUUUGACAGAUAUGUGCUCAUUCCACACCACGAGGAUGUGACUUGAUUCAGCAUUGGCAGACUCAUUUUAAGUGCGGUAAUCAUGGCUCCUGGACAGAAAAGUUGUUUUAGCUACAGCUGCACAACUACCACUCUCCCAGCACAAGAAUAUUUGUAAGAUCAUGCUGGAAUUACAUAUUAUAAAUUGUACAUAAAUGCUCACUUUUUGAUUUGACGGAAUACUGUGUACACCUGUAACUUGAAAUAAAAUCAUCACCAAAAUUUUAUAUUAUCUUUGCAUUUUUGUUGAAUGUAAAGCAUAAACUGUAGAUAAUGCUCAAAUCAUUUUAGUUCAGAUUCUGAGCAAUUGGUUUGGGGCUCCAAGCCUUUGCUCAGCAUUAUGCAGACAUCAAUCCUUUUUAUGCUAAGGGCCAGUAUAUCUUCAGAUUAUUUACAGAGCUGCAGAUAAAUUGCAGAAUCUCCAAGACAAAAGAUUGCUGUAAGCAAAUUAUUUGUCCAGUGUUCUUUUAGAAUAUACUCAUAUUGUAUUCUACAUGUUUUGAAUAAGAUUUUAAAACAGCUGUAUAAAUUUUUGUCUGGCUUUGAGAGGAAAGUUUCUUUUUUUGGCAAAUAGUGGGCUUCCUUCCUAGGGGAAAAAUACCUUACAGUGUCAAGAUCCCUAGCAUUUGGGGAUGUUUUCUACUAAUUGAACCUAAUACUUGCACUUUGAAAUCUGAUUCAGGAAAUGUUAACAGGCAACUGUCAAGGAUAGACUAUUCUGGGACAGGCUGUGCUUGCUUAUUACUUAAUUUUGUACUCCACUAAGCAUCUAUUCAUUUGCACAGUCUUAUUCUCAACAGGAACACACUGAUUUUUCCCCUGUUUCAAUUUUCUUUUCAAAAAUAGCUUUCUAGUGGAUGCGUGAGUCCCAUAUAUUUUCCCAAAAAUCAUUAUUCAUAUUUUUAAGUUGUUAGCAACAUUUGCUUCUACUAUCUGCUACUUUAGCAACUGUCUUUCUUCUUCAGAGCUUAUUUCUCUUUCCUGAGUGUGAUUCAUGUACUGUAUUCAUGAUGUGAACAUGAUGAUGUCAUGAUUAUUGGUGAACUACUGACAUUACAAAGGGAAAAUGAAACCCAUUCAGAUUGCGGUCAGGUCUUCAUAAGUGACUCCAUAGACUAGUGUGGGCAACCUUUGGCCCUUCAGAUGUUGCUGAACUGUAACUCUCAUCUGUCCCAACCAGCAUGGCCAGUGGCCACGGGUAAUGGAAAUUUUAGCUCAGCAACUUUUGGAGGGCCAAAGGUUCCCCAUACCAGAUCUAUGGGAUAUAGAAAUCUAGAACAUAAGUAAUUGGCAGAUAGUGAACAUGGUGAUGUCGCUGAGUUCAAAUUUAAGGCUAUUGAAUGAAAUGUUUACGUGUAUUUUUUGUUUGUUUGGUCACUCUACAAAGAAUGAGAACAAUUAAGUUGUAGUGGUAGCCACCAACUUGGAUGGUUUUAACAUAGGAUCAGACAAAUUAAUGGAGGAUAAGACUAUCUUCUACCACCUCUGAUAGAAGCAGUAUGCCUCUAAAUACCAGCUGCUGGGAAUCAGAAGUGGGAAGCAUGCUGUUACACUCAUGUCUACCUUUCAGGCUUCCCGUUGCAUCUGGUUGGCUACUGUAGGAACAGCAUAAUGGACUAGAUGGACUUUUGGUCUGAUCAAGCAGGGCUCUUAAAUUGUUGGUGGUACUAUUGAGGUUCAGAUGUAUAUGAAAUAGGCUCAAUUUAAGUAACCUGCUUUAGGACUGUGGUCAAAAUGAUUGAUUUGGUGAUAUUAUAUUGAGUAAUGUAGAAUGUUUUGUAUAGUAUGUGUUUAAUAUUUACAUAACAUUUGUAUAUUUAUAGCUUGAUCAAUUUAGUCUUUAGAUCUUUGUAUUUUGAAAUUGUAAUCAAAUUGUUUAAUAAUUAGAAUGGUAAAAUAAAAAUGCUGAUAGAGGGACACUGUGCCUUUUGACACUGAAAAUAUUAAACUCACCUUAUCCAUUUGGCUCAGUCUUAAUUUAGAAUUCUAAGGUGAGUGCUGAUUGGGCAAUUUUAAAAAAAUAAGCAUAACAUCUGUAUCUGUUCUCUUUUGCUUUUUUUUUAAUUCAAAAGUAAACUCCAUCCAAUUUGAUGAAAUUUGCUUCUAAGUAACUAUGCAAGACUGGAGUAGAUCAGGGCUAGUGGUCCUAUGCUUUUUCAAUGAUGCCAGAGGGAUGAAACCCACUUUUUGGAAAAUCUUGAACCCUGUCUUUUUAUACAGGCAGAAUCAGAAGCGCCAUGUGAAAUGUGUGGCUUAACCAGUACUCUUUGGCUUAUUUUCCAUUGAACACAUCUGUGCUUGACUAUAGGAGCUAGUGCCCUACUUGGCAUCUUUCUUGAGCUUGAGUAUCUGAUGUUUUAAUCUUGAUUGUUUUGUGUUUUGGAAUCAAAGAAGGAAGCUGCACCAAACUUAAUGCUGACACUAUGGAUAUAGUAAUAGUUCUGCAAAUUCAUAUCUAUUGUAUUUUAUGCCAGUUUAACUGUCAUGGCUUUCCCAAAGAUUCCUGGGAAAUACAGUUUUGAGAGUCUGCUUCAAAUUAUUUGCUGGCAAUCCCUAGGAUCUUUCAUUGGACUACAGGGGUUCUCUGGGGACAGAUAAUGUGUAUUAACCCAGUUUUAAGUUUGCACUCAAACUCUCCGUUUUGAAAACAUUAAGUUCCAUUUUGCAUAUCACUCAACUGCUUGUCUCCUUAAUUCCAAUCAACAUCUCACUUAUUGCUAGAGUCAACACUCCAGUGGUAACAAAAAAUAAAACCUUUCAUCAUCUAUUGAUUUGCCGUCUUGAAAAAAAUGACAAUAGGCUAUUUUUGUCCAAUUUCUCAAUAACUAGAGCCAUUUAUUGGUUUUUCAGUUUUACUAUAUUGCACAAGAAUGUAUUUUACUGCAUUUUUGAAAACUGCAGUAUCAAGAUGCAAUGUUUUGUAGUUUUUGCAAGCAAAUUCAGAAAUUGUAUAGUCCAACUGAGAGCUAUAAAGAUACCUGCCAUAUUUGUAAUAGUAUCUUAAUUCAAAUUUAACUGCAGAGGGCAAUCGGGCAUUUGUUAACCUAGUAGACUACUGAAAAAUAUCUUUAGACAAACUUGGUUUUUUAAAGUUAUAUUGUUUCGUAAGUCAUGGAAACAUGAACAUUGUGUUUGUGAUUUUGUCACAGGAGUCCAGUGUGAGCUUGAGAAAUAACUACAGCUUCAGCUAGGUGAGAUUUGUACCUAAAGGUGCAUAUCCUUUUCUGUGAUUUACACUUUCUAACAUUCUAAACUACGGUACAUUUUAUGAGUUAUGAAUCUUGCUUGUUUAAAUAUUUUUUUUUUAAAAAAACCACACACAACAGGAUUCCUGGUUCACAUAUAACACAAAGCAAGAUUUUAGCCACACAGGAGUAGAGGUGACCAUGCAAAAGAGGGAGCUUUGGGCUUCCUAAGGCUCACCCUUUUAGUGUUAAACUAUGGCACCAAGACUUUUGUGUUUGUAAAACAAAGGAAUGGGGUAAAAAUUGGCGUUUCUUGAGUUUUAUGUGGUUUCAGUCCAAAAAACUGAACUGAACUGUGGCAUCAGGAUGAUCGUCCAAUAAGUUAAUUUAUCCCUUUCCGUGUAAAUACAAUGUAACUCUAAGUUGGAAAGGAAAAAUAUUCUUUAUACAGCAGGAUAUAGAUGAUAGUACUAGCAAAUGGAAAAUGUGACAUUCAGCUACAAGAAAAACAAGGAAGACCCAAUAGAAAGAAACUCAAAAUUGAAUGUAGCAUAAAGGGAAAAGAGAGUCAUAUAUGUAACUAAUACCAUGCUAUUUAUUGAAAUCUCACCAGUGACCUUUACAGCAGCAGUGCUUCAAUGUAUAGUUAUGCAGAAAAGGAAAGUGAUGGCUAUUAUAAAGGGAACAUAUGAUUGGAUUUAGAUUCAUGGGGAUGUAGGUUUUGAAGAGGUGCCCUUCAUUAUCUGUGGAGCAUGUAUAUCUAUAGUAAGACUUAUUUCAUUGUGGUCCUUGAAAAUAUGCUGCAUUCAUUCCUGCUUAUUUCAGGUCCGGUAGCAAAUUUCUAAAGUUUGCUUUGGGUGUUACCAAUACAUAUUAGGGGAGAUGUUUGUGACUGAUUAGUAAUUAUAGUUCAGCAUAUUUUGUUUGGAGUUUAUGUUCAAUGCUUUGAGUUGAAGUUUCCAGUACAGUCUCAGCACUGUUGUUGUUAAACUUUGUAUAUCUCCUUCCUCAAUAGACCACAAGGUGUUUCACAGCAUAAAAAUACAAGAUAAAAAAGGUUCCUAUCCAUAUUACUAAUUUAAUUUCAAAUCUAAUUAACAACUUCUCCUUGUGGGGUGUGUGGAGUAGAGAUGAACUACAUUGUUAAUCCUAGAGUUCAAAAUGUUGUCGCUGUAUUGUUUGUAUCCCUUGGUUAGAUAAAUAAACAAUCAUAAGCUUUUUCAAGCACAUGCUUUUAAUGUCAUUUUUUUUGGCAGGUGAAAAAUUUCUUAUGAAGUCUUGAAGAUACAUUUAAGGCAAUAUUUAAGUAAAUAUUCACAAAAUGAAUUCAGUUAUACAAGGGAUAUUCUACUUUAUUUAAUAAUAAUAAUAAUUUAAGUAGCUUGGGGGCUGGGGAGAACCCCAGUUCAAAACACUGGCUGCUUAAGGGUAGAGAACUAAAUCUCUCUGCAAUUUUAUUUCCAAUACAAAUGCACAGGCAUCAUAGUAGUUAAAUCAGUGAUAGAAGUAUGUCUUGCAAUAACAUUUAGUACCUUUUUAGCGAUCAUCUAACACCCGUGUCUUCAUCACGCUUCACAGGCUACCAAACAGAAGCAAUUUUUGUUUCCAAAUACAAGGUGAGCUUCUAGAGGGAUUUUUAAAUAAAAUAUUGUUGUGAAAAGGAAGAGAGUACUGCAUACAGGUGAAAGGUGGAGUUUUCCAGGGUGUAGAAUGGAGUGUUUGUCUCUUUUCUUCACAGGAGGUAAAACAUCAUGGGGUAUCUCACCUUUUCUACUCUCCUAUUGUUUUCACAUCCAUCCCAUUAUAGGAUCACGUGGAUCCAGCACCUUCAAUUCAUUUCAGUUCUGUCACUUAUGAAGCUAGAUGUGUCUCAGUACUAAGUCUUCUCUACAGUCCCUUUGGGCAUUCCUUAUAGUUAUUCUUGCUGCCAAUAUUCUAUUAGAAAAUUCACCAUGUACCCUUAAACCUACACCCCAGCUCAAUUCCUGAGUUAAAGGCUACUGGAGAAUGCUUCUGUUUUUCAUAUUUUAACAGGGUCUCAAAGAGGUGGUAGUUGUUUAAAUUUGCAAACUUUAAUAGGGAAUUUGCAUUCUGUUCUUCACACAACUUUGGCUACUACAAGUCCAAUUGGAUUUUGUUUUCCUUAAAUUUUUUUUGUUUGUUACAUUUCUAUCACACUCUUUUCCAAGUAUCUCAUCCUGAGCUAUAAAUCAUUAUUAUUUUAAUUUACAAAUAGGAUCUGAGGCGAGGAGCUAAGUCACUUUCCCACAAAAUGAGUCCAUGUCCUAGAGCUGUUCAACAGUGGAAUUUGCUGCCAAGGAGUGUGGUGGAGUCUCCUUUGGAGGUCUUUAAGCAGAGGCUUGACAACCAUAUGUCAGGAGUGCUCUGAUGGUGUUUCCUGCUUGGCAGGGGGUUGGACUCGAUGGCCCUUGUGGUCUCUUCCAACUCUGUGAUUCUAUGAUUCUAGGUGGAAUUGAGCUCUGUUGAAGUCCUACAUACAGCAACACUUUUAUGCUUAUAGCUUAGAGAUGUUGAAGACAGAGCAUUUUGUCCAUAGAAAUGCUUAGAGUUUUAUUGUUGCAGGAAUAGCUGUGUGUGUGCGCGCACACACACACACACACUUGAUUUUUGUUUCUUCCCUCCACCAAUCUGAGAUCUAAUUAAUAUAGUCUCUACUCACCACCUUUAUAAAAGCAGAAUGCCUAGCCUUGUAGCCAUCUGCCUGGAUAUAUAAGUACUGUUCUAUUUUUGACCUGGACACCUAUGCUUGAAGAACAUCAUGCAAGUUCAAAAGUUGAUGGCCUUAUACAAGCAUCCCCCCACUUAUGUGGGGGUUAUGUUCUGGGCCCCUGCACACAUAACUGAAAUCACGUAAAGUGCGGAGCAACCGACUUUAAUUGGGGGGUGCACAGGUAUGAUAAAACCCUGGGGAAAGUGGAAAAGAGAGAGCUCAUUUCAUAAAUACACCCAUAAUGGGAAACCUUUGCUACUCGAAGCAUUCAGAAAAAAACACCACACUUUUUUUUAAGAUUCCUCUUAACAUUUGUUCUGCACCUUGAUAGUGUUUUAAAGAAGAAGAAAAAAUCUGGUGACUGUUUUCAUUAAAAGGGUUUUAAAUAUAUACAUAUAAUAAUUUAGAUGGCAGUGGGAUGGCAAAAUGUACAAAGGCAUGAAGACAGCCUUCAGUAAAUCAAAUAGCAAUACUUAAGUGGAUAGAGGGAUAUAAUGGAUUUAUUAGCAAAUCUCAAACUGGUUUGCAGAAGAUGGGAGAGGGAUGCCUCUUGAAGGAGCUACUAGAAUUUAGAUCGAGCAGAUUGAAAGCUGCAUACCCCUCAAAACCUAACGAGGGUGGGGUUCUGCUUGUUGGCACCUUUUAGGGCACAACAUGAGCUUCUGUCAUGGUGGAACCUCACACUAGUGACAUUCCUCUCUACUAGCAUAGACUGGCAGAGAGGUAUCUAUACAUCAUCUAACUGGCACUGGGAUGGGGUUAGGAUUGUGCAGCAACAUGAUGUUUUAAAUAAAUGAUUUUUACCCAUGAAGAAUGGCAUCCUGAAACUAAUACUGUACUGGAAUUGCUAAUAGACUCAUGUGCGCAUCAGUCCAAAAUAUAAUUUUGAAAUAUGUUCCAAUACUUAUUACCUCUGAAUGAAAACAAUACAUGGAUUUAAAAAAACCAGACUAUACUGAAAUGUAUAAGUAGAUGUGUUGUGCUAUGUGUUUAGCUAUGCUAGAAUGAACUGUUCUUUAAAACAGCAUUUUUAGAUACUGUUAUUUCCAUUUCAAAGUAAAAAUAUCUUAUAUGAAAAGGUUCAAUUCCCCAGUGAGAAAAAAGGUUGUAUGAGUUUCUUGACUCACCUUUUUUCAUGUUUUGAUCAUAUGUGAAGAUCAGAACACUCCAUCUUUUUUGUCAACAUUGCUGUGGGAAAAAAUGUCAGUUGAACAUUUCCCUAGGGAUGUAAAGGUUCUGUCCUGUUGCGUUAGGCUUUGUUUUCCUUUAUCCUUUGGUUGCUCAGACAGUGUGUUGCUGAAUAUGCAUAGUAGUUUUACAUAAAGAGGUAAAUUUUCAGCAUCCAAAUAAACACAGAUUUUUAUUAUUUCUGGCAAAAGUAAACCACAUCUAUCCAUAAAUGUACACUAUUUAGACCACGGGUUUUUUAUGUUAUUAAAAGUUGAGGAAGAACAUAAAAGUUUGGAUGCUAGAGCAGUAGGGUUUUUUUAAAAGGUUCCAUCUUGGAGCAUAAAAAUAAAUUUGACUACUCAGUCCCAAGUGCGUUUGUUCGAAAUAAGGUCACUUCCAGAUGAUCUGUUCACUGAGCAUUCAUCAUGAUUUGUUUGCACAACAUUUGUGGGGAGGUUAGACAGCACGAGUGGUAGAUUAAGCAUUCAUUUUGAUUUGUUUGUGAGGAUGUUGUGUCGAGCCGUUGUUAUUUCACACUUUCCAAUAUUCAUCUGCCCCUUUAAAAUUUGUUGAGGGGUUACUGGGUUGUUAUUUUUAUUUUGAUUGUGUAUUUUGUGGUUUUAUAUUCUGAUUUUAUUCUGUGAACUGCUCUGAGAACUGCAGGUAUAGGGCGCUAUAUCAUCAUCAUUAAUAAUAAUAAUUAUGUAGUAGUAGUAGUAGUAGUAAUAAUAAUCAUAAUUCCUGUCACUUUCCAUUUCCCCAAAAGUCUGUUUUCAGGGGAGGGAGAGCAGGUUUGUUGUGCAAGAGCACCAGAUCAGGUUUAAUUACACAAUCUGAAUUUGCUAGUAUGUGAUUGAAUCCUACACCAAAAUAACCACAGUCUGGUAGCAACUCUGAGUAACAGCCUUAUGCAGCAGUCUUAGGCAGAGCUACUCAGAAGUAAGCUCCACUGAACUCUGUGGAACUUAGUUCUGAGUAAAUGGGUGUAGGAUUUGGCUGUAAGUGUGCUUAGGAUAGCAGCCUUACUGAGGCUUUAUCUGAAGAAAAAACUGUCUUGUUUUUAUUUGACUAGUAAUCCAUAACUUUAUUCUUAUGUAAUCUGUAGUGCAUUCCCCAAAUGGUACUAUAAUUAGCUUUUGUGUACAGUUUAACUUAGCCAUACAGUUGUCAUAUGAUCCAAAGAUUGCCUGUUGUAGUCUUAAAGUCCCCUUGAUACAUACCUUGUAGAGAAACAGAUUUCCCAGUGGAAGUAAGGAAUUCAUUCACAUUAUUCCUUUUUCUUUUUGCAUGAUAGUUUAGCUGCACUUUGCAUACACUAUAUUUAUUAAUUAAUAAAAAAUUAAUAGUAAUAAUAAUAAUAAUAAAUUAAUUCUCAUCACUGUUUUGGCAAGUGUCCUGUACAUUUAAUCACUGUAACACUUCUGUACACAUUACAACCCUUUUAGAUAUCUAGAUUAAAAAUCCUACUAGAACAUUCUGAGUACUAAAUCAUACAGAAUUACAGUAUUAUUAGAAGCAUUAAAAGAUAAGAAGCUUUAUUAUACAUUUUGGGAGACUUAGACUGUAACACAAACAACUGUAAGGAGGAAGGAAAACUUUGUCUAAAAUAUACUGGUGAUCUCUUAUCACAGUAUUACACAAUAAUCAUUUUGUAGUUGCUUCACUAGCAAAUAAUGUAUCUUCUUCUUAUUUUUCAUGUUAAUCAGUAGCCAGUCUUCAAGACUUAAAAUUGGGAGGUUGGGAAGGGUGUGUGUGAGCACCCAGAAAAAUGCGAAGGCAAACGAAUAUUACCAUGCCACAUUGGUAAUAUAUGAAAUGGGCUUCAAUGAUUUAUCACCUCUUGAAGUGAAGUGAGUUGAUUUUAUGGGCCAUGAGGGGAGUAAAGGCUCUUAAUGUAACAUUGUUUCAUCCUUGAACCUAAAGUAAGUGACCAUAUAUACAGUAUUGGGGUGGUUCUCACUCGUGUUUGGUAUUCAUGGUUCCAAAGAAUGUGAGUGAUUCAAUAUAGUCAGUAAUAAGAUGGAGACGGGAGAGGGAGACUACAGAUCAUGUGACAGGAACAAGAAGGACAAGUACCUCACACUUCAUGAUUCUCCUCUGAUAUAGAAAAACUGUUUUAUGCAUUAUGUAAAAUGAGGUGAUAGAAUUUUAGACUUUACCAUUUCAUACUGUAGGGUGUAAUGUUUUUGAAAAUGGCAGUCCCAUGUUGCAUUUAUCCCUCAAAAAAACAUUCAGGUGUACUUCCCUGUGUCGUGACAUCAUCAUGUCUCCCUGCCCCCAUACCCCAUCAUUGGCUAGUGUGGUAAUGGAUAAUGUGAAAUUGCAUAAUAGGUAUGUGCCUGAAUUUUACAGAGAUUGGGUGGUAUUAACUUGACAAAAAGUUGUUGUUUUGCUUGCAGUGCUAUCUUGAGUAUUUUUACUUCUCUACUUUAAGAGUUACAAGUAGCUAAUGAGGGUUUGAGGGGGAGGAGGUGUUCUGCUUUUGUACAUUCUGUUUGAAAGGUGGCAACCUAGUCACUGAAUAGAUUACUUUAGGUACUUUAGGCUAAUAAACUAUUCAGAGGUAAACUAUUAAGAGGUAAACAAUUAGAGUUCAACAACUUUUUUUUUAUUUUAUUAAGACAUUCUACUCUCUAGUUUUGUAGUAAAAUAAACCAUCAUGUUCUAGUUGUCGACACAUGGAAAUCCUUUCUCCACUGGCAAAUGCCUCCAAUAUGGCUCCUAAAAAAUGGGAAAUCCUUUUUAAAUACAUGUGAGAUAUAUAGCCAGUUUCUAAGGCUUUUUUCAUAGUAUGCAGAAUGCAAGAGUAAACACAACCUGAAGUUAAUUGCUUUCUUAGGAAAGAAAAGUUCAGUUUCUGAGGAUUGGUUUAGAGUCUUGGUUUACCAAAGAACAUGAGCCAGGAACUGGUGGUGGUUGCCAUUUACAAAAAGCGACACCCUGAUACAACACAGUGCUCUUCUCUAUGUUGGGUCUUGCCUUUAGUAUGGACAGAAAGGUGUUUGGGUAAUUUCAAAUUCUAGUUUGUGCAUUAACCUCAUACACUCCAGUCCAUAUUGCUAUACUGAAUCAGAUAACGGGUUCAUCUAACUCAGCAUUGCUACAAUGACUAGCAGCAGCUCUCCAGGGUUUCAGGUAGGGACUCUCCUGGAAUUAAAGGCAAGCACAUUACAUGCCCACAUGAUUGUGUCAAAGAUUUAUCAAUAAAGCAUUCUGGAUGGUUGUGGGAACAACAGAGCCCCCUUUCUGUUUUAUGAAUAUUCUUCACUGCCUAUUUAUAGCUACUUCUGUUUCUCUUAUAAAAGAGUAAUUUAUUCCUGAAGUAUCUCCAACCAAUCAGGCCUUAUGUAGGCAAAUUGUGAUUAUAUCACAUUAUCAUAUAGUCAAUUCCUACACAUUAUUGUGUCACACUGCCACAUAUGAAUGAGGUCAGUACUGCUGCCCUCAUUCUGAAUGAGUGAACAUGUUCAUUCACCACAGAUCAUAAAUCCACCCAAAUAAUCACCAAGUCAGCAUAUGUGUGCAUGCAUGUGCACAUCAUAGAGGAGAAAGGGAGAUUUUACAAAACAUGUGUCAUUGUUUUGGCUCAAUAUGGACACAUAUUUACAGUUUAGUACACCACACUGGAAUUUAAUUAGAAUAAAGUAUGUCAACUGUAUAUUGAAAUGCAUAGGGGCAGCAACAUUUAUGCUUCUUGCUCUAUGUAUUAACUGUGCUCUAGUGAAUUAUUUAACCAAAUACUUUAAAAUCAAAGUUCUAAAAUAAUCCUCAGACACUUAACACCUGAUCCAUUUUUUGAUCUUGUUGGUAAUGGAUACUUCCACAUUAAAUCUGUAUAUAAUUCUUAGCAUUUUACUUUUUCAGAGUUGGACAGAAAAUACCUCUUUAAAAACUCAAGUAGAUAGCAUGCGACCCUGUUCUGGUUCAAGCUUGGAUAAAGAGAAGUAGUGGCUGAGUCAAGCAGUCCCUGCAGGUGAGAUUUUCAGGGAGUUACAAGGGAAUGCAGGAAUACGGGUAUAUGUGUUAACACACAGUAUAGCUUGAAUAAGGCACUAAUGAUUAUUUAUACAACUAAUCUUGAAGAGCUGAACAAUAUUGCCUUGCAAAAUGAAAAAUCUCUUAUAUCUGUGUCUGUUGUAGUUGGCCUUUGGCCUUUGAAAUAAGCAUGUUGUGUGGUAUAAUUUGUAAUGUUCCUUUCCUUCACCUACUUUGGAGGAUUUGAAAUCUGCUUACCUUAUCUAGACCAUAGGAAGUCAACAUAAUACUCUACAAAUGUUGUUGGGCAACAAUUCCCUGGCAGCUUUGCCAAUGGGCAGGAGAGAUGGGCUGUGUAGUUCAACAGCAUGCUCACUAGUACUGAUCUAGAACCAUUGAAGUGGAUUCAGCUUGUGCCAUGUAGUGUGGUUUGCCAGCUUCUUGUCAAACCUUUCUGCAGUCCCAAAUCAUAUAUUUGAGAUGCUGUUUAGGCAGAUUUCAAAGAAACCUAAAACAAACCUUUCAGGUGUUUUUUAACCACAACUCCCAUUAUCCCUGGCCAUUGGCUAUGCUCCUGAGGCUGAUAAGAGUUCACCAAAGCAUCUGGAGGGCACCAGGUUGGAGAGCGCUGUUCUACAUUGCUUGGCAAUGGCUCUUCAGGGUCCCAUAUGUGGGAAUAUCUGGAGAUGCAAGUUAUUGAACUUAGGACCAGACAAAUAAUAUGUUCAAAAAUGAAUAUGCUAGGGUAAAGUGAAAAAAUGCAUGUAUUAGUGAAAAUAACACACAAAAUGGAUAAUAUAAGGGGGAAUUGCUUAGCAAAAUGUUAUAUUACAUACACUAAUGUCUAUAUUAAGAGAUUGCAAACUAAUUGCAAACUGAUGUGACCUGAACUUAACAUUAGAAAAAUGAAAAACAAAGAAACCAAUAUUGACAGAUCUGCCUGUUCCUAGCUAGCAGCAAUAGUAUCCUUCAUGUGAGAGCACUACUAGCUCAGAGAGUUUUAUCCUUUAUUUUAUAUAUGAAUUCCAUGUUUUCUUUGAAGAGAUCCUACACAAAAACACUCCUGAUUAUAAGCAUGGCUAUAAGUAGCUUGGCUUCUUUGUAACCUAUGAAAUGCAUAUUUAAGUCACGCUUGAAACCGAUGAUUAAGACCUUAUACUCAUAUAGUUUUGUAGAAAUGAAAGACAUAUAAUUAUCAACAGGGGAAAAAAUGAAAAGCAAUCCAAAAUAUGAAGAGCACCCAUCAGCCAUUUGGCAAAAGCUCUGACUUGAGGUGGAGAGGGAAGAAGAUAGAGAAUAAUGAAUUCAUCAAACUGUAAAUGCACAAACCAAUGGAGCGCUUAGACUUCAAUUCAAGGCAAAUGGAAAGAGAGCCCCCAUUACUGUUGAGAUAUACAGACACAGCCCCACUAAUCAUUUGGUCAUGCUUGGGAGACAGCAAGUCAUCACAGGCCAUGACAUGAGGAGAACAGUGC